rnacentral:lncRNA from 1 species
AGGGGAGCUAGAUCGUUGGAAGCGAUGGCUUAUCGCAAUGGAAUCAGAGAGAGGAAGAGGAUCGUAGGGAGGAUCAUUCAUGCCUUGCGGCGAAGAGAGGAGAUUUUGAUCGAUUGCGGCUUGUGAGUAGAUCCAUUUCUAGAAUUCUAGCGAAGAGGAUUGAUCCAGAUUGCGGGCAAUUGGAAUCCGGCACGAUGAGUGAGAUGUUCCAGACCUACGAGCGGCAGUACCAGGAGCUUGUCUCCGGUCUAAAGCAAGGCUGCGUCGCCGCUGGAGCUCUCAAUGAGGGUAAUCAAUCCCUUCCUUCGAUCGAUUGAUCUAAGCGGUAAAUUCCAGCAGAUCAGAGGAGACCCAAAGUUCUUGAAUUGAAAACGGCGCUCGACGAAGGGGAUUCCUUGGUAACGGAAGUUUUCUCGCCAAGAAAGCUAGAUUCUCAUCGAUGGAUUUUCAGAUCAGGAGGAUGGAUCUCGAGGCGCGGGGGCUCCAGCCGCCGCAGAAGACGGCAUUCCUGGGAAAGCUCAAGAACUACAAGGCGGAGCUCACAAAUCUCAAGCGCGAAGUUAAGAUGAUGUCCAUGGGCGCUGGAGCGCGAGAGCAGCUCCUGGAAAGCGGCCAAUUCACGGUAAAUCCUUCCUUCUUCUUCUCAACCCUUCGUCUUGGGCGACGCUCUUCGACUAAGUCCCAGCAGAUUUGCUCCAGACCUCGCAAGAACAACAGGUCCAACUAGCCGCCGCCACCGAUAGGAUGUAUCAAACCGGCGAUCGGAUACGAGAAGGCAAGAAGGUGCUGGUGGAGACCGAAGAACUCGGCGUCUCGAUCCUCCAGGACCUCCACCGGCAGCGGGAAGUUCUCCAGCACUCGAAGAACACCGUAAGUUUUGCGCUUGAUCACCGCUUAGAUCGUCUGUUCUUGGAUGAUCCAGUUGCAUGGAGUGGACGACAACAUCGCCCGGGGCAAAGUCAUCAUCCACAACAUCAGCCGGAGGAUCACCAGGAACAAGUACAUCAUGGCAGGCCUGAUCAUCUUCCUCUUGCUUGCCAUCCUCGUCAUUGCCACGGGCAAGAGGCCCCACAGCUAACUUGGUUUUCCAUCCGAGCAGCAAUCCAAAAUCCCAUCGUCGCACUGAAAGAAACUCCACAGCCAUCGUCGAGCACCGCCACCACCAAAAGCGUUCUUCGUCGGCUUGAUCUGAUCUACUUCCAACUCUAAAACAUCGCGUCCUCCUGUUCUUCGUCGGCUUGAUCUGAUCUACUUGCAACUCUAGAACAUCGCGUCCCUGUUCUUCGUCGGCUCAAUCUGGUCUACUUGCAACUCUAGAACAUCGCGUCCUGGAAGCUGAUCCUCUUCUUGGCCGAGGAGCUCCCGACCCUCUGGAGAGAAACUUCCAGCUGCAAACGCCCCUCGCUUGGGAACAUAUGUGCCGGAACCACCAGGAAAUCCAUGGGCUGCCUGCUCUGCGAGAAAGUCUGUGCCACGCUCUCGAACAGCAGCCUCUUCUUCCCAUUCUUGAGCUCCACCUGGUAGAGAUACUCGUCCGGUGCCGCGGCUCCAAAGUAAGUCACGUAGAGCGAGCUCCCGAGAGAAUUCUUGUCCUGGUGGAGUAAGAAGCACAGCCCUUCAACCUUAAGCAGGAAGAACGCCGCCUCUGGCCCCGCGAGGAAGAGCGUGCACCGAGCUUCCCACGAGAAAUCGUAGCGCGCCACCUGAUGCGCCUCGACGAUGUGCGCCAGGAGAUCUCUGGUUGGAGCCGAGACGUUGCAGGGCUUGAUCGGGCAGGCGCAUGGCCGGAAUUCGCAGCUCCUCUCGUGGAUCGCCUUGUGGACGAACUUGGGCAUGGCGCCGCAGCCGUGGUCCGCGAACUUGCAGCUCACGCUCAGCGUCUCGAUGAGCUUCUCGAUGGCCAGGCAGCGGAUCGAUCCCAGCGGCUUGGAGCACGUCGGGCACACGUCGCUGAUCUUGGAGCGGCAGCUCUGGCAGGCGAUGUGGCCGUUCGAGCACUGCGAGAGGGAUAUUUCACCGAGAAUCAAUGCCAAGAACAUGGAAAUCGAUCGAAUAUCGGUACCUGGAAGAUCGGCGGGGUCAGGGAUUCCAUACACACGCUGCAAUCGAGCGUAUCCACAUCCAGCGUCGCAAGAACAGCGCCGUCCGCCAUCGCCGUGCUCGCAGAGGCAGCCGGCGCCACAGGCGCCGAGGGAAUGGACAUCAUCGGCAUCGCCAUUGCCAUAGCAGAUGUCUCCCCGUCGGGCGUCGAGAUACGCAAGCGCUUCGAGGCAAUUGUCUGUGUGGAAAAUCGCACCAUUUCUAGGUCCAAAAGAAAGGGACUAAAAAUGAAGAACCCUAAAUGCCAAGAAUAUACUUUUGCGAAGAACCCUAGAGCUUUUGGGGAAGCCCUAGCCGCCGCAUCAAAGAGCUAGCGCCAGCGCCUUGCAUCAUGACUGUCAAGCGGCGGAAUGGCGGCCGCAACAAGCACGGCCGCGGCCAUGUCGAUCCAAUCCGGUGCUCCAAUUGUGGGCGCUGCGUCCCCAAGGUAUGACAUCUAGAGGAUUUUCCAUCUCUCUUUGCCGGCGGAGCUGAGAUUUCGCCUCCAGGACAAGGCCGUGAAGCGCUUCCUUGUCAGGAACAUCGUGGAGCAGGCAGCGGUGCGCGAUGUGCAAGACGCUUGCGUCUACGAAUGUAAGCAGCUCAAUUUUUUUCUCUGGAGGCUUGUUUCAUGACCAAUGUCUUGGUUCUUGCAGCUUACACGCUCCCCAAGCUCUACGGGAAAAUGCAGUACUGCGUCUCCUGCGCGAUCCACUCUCACGUCGUGCGCGUCCGAUCGAGAGAGAAGAGAAGGGACCGAAAUCCGCCAGUGCGACCCUUCCAGAGGCGCAAGGUUUGAAAGCUAUAGAUUUGGGAAUUUCUUACGAGCGUUCUCUCGUGGUGUUUGUAGGAGGACUUUGUUCCUCGACCUGGUGGCCCUGGUGCUGCUGGAGGUCCUGGCGGUCCUGGAGCUCCGCGUCCACCACCGCCCCGAUAAAUCGGUCAGCACGAAACUUUGCUACUCUUCCUUUCCGGCUAACGAAGAGAGAGUUAAUCUUUUGUUUGGAAUGGCUUUCUUAAUCUCAUAUGGAAGUUUUUGUUGCUUGUGAUCAAUCUCUUGAUUCUUCCAGCUUUGAUGUGAUCUGGGAAAAUCUCAUACCCUCUGGGUCUGAAAUCUUCGCUCGCAAGUUUGGUGGCUUGAGCAAAACCUUGUCACUCCUAGCCUUAUGCUAAAUGCCGGGUCCGACGAAUCCAUCGCUACAGUGCCGCCGAAUCUAAAGUCGUGUAGACACACUCCACAUCUGUGCCUGUUCCAACGCAGUCCAUCUCCUCAAAACUGGCCGGGACCUUCAUCCAUUUGGAGACUGACGGAUUUGUUGUCGACGAAUUCAGCCUCGCUCUCGACUUUUUUGCAAAAACUCGUGCCUGGAUCGAAUGGUUCUUUGAUAAUGGCAAAGAAAGAUACAACGCAUUCAAAUGCUCAAACCCAGUAGUAAUCAAAUGGCUGCUUUCAGUGAUAAAAACUUUAGAGCUUGAGAAACCUUUGUUUAAACAAGCUGGACACCAUAUCUUUUUUGAUCUUCCUCGACCAAGAGCUGCUUCCACCCCCUAUUACUCCAUUCCAUGAGUUUAUACCACUUUGUUGGCUUGAGAAACGCGAUGUAAACCUUGUCAUUCACAGCCUUCAUGCUAAAGUUCACUACUGGAACAUAUGUCGGAUCUCCCACCCAUGCUGUAGGUGGAUCCUCCUGUGGAUCAUCGAUUCUCAAGCACGCAAGCUCCUUGAGACUACUCUCCACCACUUCCAAAAGCCGGAAGAGCCCGAGCGUGGGAUCAUAGCGAGCAACUAAGAACCCAUCCUGCCACUUCUCAAGCCUCAUCUCUGACAUUGGUCUAGACUCCCCAGUAACAGCAGCGCCAAGCUCCACAAUGGUCUUGUACUCAUCUUCUAGCUCAUCGUACUUGACCACCCGGUUAGCUCUCAACCCGUCCGUACCAUUCACCCCCGUGAGAAACUGGGCCUCCCACCCAUUGAUGCUCGAGUCGAAGACCGACAAGAAGUGGAGUUCGAUUCCAAACAACGCAGCCGACAUCAUGGGCACAACAAGCUUGAAUCGUCUCGGGUCACCCUUGUCAAUCGCUAUGGCCAUUCCACCAUUGGGAGAAUGUUGUAAGGAUUCAAAGCUAGGCAAAGCCUUCACCCGUCUGCUGAAGAGAUCGCACACAAGCACCGUCCAUAUCCCCGAUAACCCCCUUGUACUCCCAAACAGGAAGUAAGCGAGGUUGCUCUCGCGAUCGUAGGCCAUUUCGUUUUGAUACUGAAGAGAACUAAAACCCUCCUUGACAGUCUGCGUGGAUGCAAAUUCCAUCACAAAGUCCAAUGGCAUUGCCUUCAGUAACACUUCCCCAUCACGACUUCUUGGGAGAACAAAGAAGAGCUGGAUCAAUUCUUUGCCCUCGGGCUCUUCCAACUCGGACUCUGAACUUCCCUCCAAGGAACUUCCUUUACACCUUUGGACUUGCCAAAACCCUGAGCAUAGUAUGCUAUGCACACAUGCUGCCCAUUCCUUGGAAACUAACCUCACAUUGCCCAAAUCUUCCAUGGGAACCAUCUCUAGAAUUUCCCGAAGGAGUUGCCUAAACACCGCCUUCAUCGCCCCAAAAGCCCUAGAAUAUUUUAGUUCUAGGCUUAGGGUUCCUUGGCGGCUAGGGCUUCUAGGUGGCGCUCCAAAUCUAUAUUAUUAAUAGGAGCUACUUUUAAGGCUUUAAUCGAGAAUUUUGCUAUUGUUUAAUUUUCGACCCAGGGGGCCUUGCAUUUACAAGAUAAAUACCAGCGAGUGUGAUCGUAGCUCCCAAAAUUUGAGCGCCAUUGAGGCUUUCAUCCAAAACAAGAUAUCUACGAACAAGAAGCUUUUAAAUCAUGGAAGAAAUGCUCCACACUUACCCAAAAAAAGCCGCAAACAUUGGCGUGAGAAAUGUCAAAGACUUCAGCUUCGUGAGGCUCCCUGCAGAACUCACAAACUCAAAACUUUCAAUCGCGCUAGAGUCGAAGAAAAUCCUUCCUUUUCUCUCACCUUUGGUGGCGUUGUAGAAGAACACACCAUAGCUUAUAGCACUCCCAAAGAUCGAGGUGUAAGCUAGAGAAGCCCAGUCACUAACCAUGAGAUCUUCCAAGUGACCAUUCAAGGCGGGCUCGCUGUUAGACGCUGCGAGGAGUAACAAUGGCAAGCCACCAAUUAUCAUAUGCUGCAAGAAAAAACAAAACAGAGUUUUUCGAGCUUGAAAGUUUCAUGGUUUGCGUACGCAGCCAGUUGCCAUGAUCGGAUCCGAGAACUUGCACACCCAGCGAACCAAGAGCGUGCCAAGAGCCAUGCUUUGAGCAGCAAGGAGGAUGUACCGCUCCAUUGCUUUCCUCCGGUGAUGACAUAGAAUUCUCCUCCAGUUUUUGGAGCAGUGGACUCCCAAGGAUUCAGCUGGAUGCUGCUGGAGGUGAUCAAAAGCUUCAUAGUUCUUACAUCGUCUCACUGGAAUUUGCCACAGGUGAAGCCCCGCUAUGCCUAGAAGAAGUCCCAAAACUCCUAGAGGCCUGAUCGUCGCGUUGAAGAGGAUCGACGCGAGAAUGGCUACUGUAAAAGGCUGCGAAUCCAUGAUAAUCUGCAUGAAUUUUCUAGGAAGUAGAAAUCCAGCUUUUGAUCUUAUGAUCUCAAAAACCUACACUUCCAAGUCCUUUUCCCAAGUAGAAUGAAACAACCUGUCAAAACUAAUUCUAGGAGUUAUCAUAAGACUAUAGUUUUACAUGGCGUGCAUUAUAACAUGAGGCAUCGAAAUGCAAUGAGUUCUCUCUUUUUUCUUCCUAUGGACGCAAGAGAUCGCAUAGAGGGCCAGGUCUCGAAAAGAAAACUACUUUUUUUUUUUAACCUUUGUUUAAACAAGCUGGACAGCAUAUCUUCCUUUAGCUUCCUCGACCAAGAGCUGCUUCCACUCCCCAUUACUCCAUUCCAUGAGUUUAUACCACUCUGUUGUGAGCAAUGCGAUAUAAACCUUGUCAUUCAUAGUCUUCAUGCUAAAUUCCAGAUCUGUCGACGGUGGAUCCUCAUGUGGAUCAUCGAUUCUCAAGCACGCAAGCUCCUUGAAACUACUCUCCACCACUUCCAAAAGCCGGAGGAGCCCGCGCGUGGGAUCAUAGCGAGCAACUAAGAACCCAUCCUGCCACUUCUCAAGCCUCAUCUCUGACGGUGGUCUAGACUCCCCAGUAACAGCAGCGCCAAGCUCCACAAUGAUCUUGUACUUCUCACCUUCUAGCCCAUCGUACUUGACCACUCGCUUACGUCUCAACCCGUACCAUUCACCCCCGUGAGAAACUGGGCUGUUAACGAAAUCCUGUGCCAUGCGAUCGACUUGCUCCCACCCAUUGAUGCUCGAGUCGAAGACCGACAAGAAGUGGGAUUCGAAUCCAUGCAACACAGGCGACAUCAUGGGCACAACAAGCUUGUAUCGUCUCGCGUCACUCUUGUCAAUCACUAUGGCCAUUCCACCAUUGGGAUCAUGUCCCAAGGAUUGAAAGCUAGGCAAAGCCUUCACCUGUCUGUUGAAGAGAUCACACACAAGCACCGUCCAUAGCGUCCUGAAUCUGUGCGUACUCACAAACAGGAAGUAAGCGAGGUUGCUCUUGUGAUCGUAGGCCAUAUUGCCUUCAUAAGCAAGAGGAUCAAAUCCCUCCUCAACACUCUGCGUGGACGCAAAUUCCAUCACAAAGUCCAGCGCCGCCGCCUUCAGUAACACUUCCCGAUCAUGACUUCUUGUGAGAACAUAGAAGAGCUGCUUCAACUCCUUGAGCCGGGGCUUCUCCAAGGAACUUCCCUCACUGAAAAUUAUACACCUUUCGACUUGCCAAAAGCCUGAGCGUAGAAUGCUAUGCACACACCCAUUCCUUUGAAACUAACUUUACAUUGCCCCAAUCCUCCAUAGGAACCAUCUCUAAGGAGUUGUCUAAACACCACCUUCAUCGCCCCAAAAGCCCUCAUAUUUUAAGGAUAAUUUAGGGCUGAAACCACAUAUAUACUCUGUAGGAGCUCCUUUAAGGUUUUAAUCAAGAAUUUUGCUAUUUUAAGGGGGCCUUGCAUUUACAAGAUAAAUACCAGCGAGUGUGAUCGUAGCUCCCAAAAUUUGAGCGCCAUUGAGGCUUUCAUCCAAAACAAGAUAUCUACAAACAAGAAGCUUUUAAAUCAUGGAAAAAAUGCUCCACGCUUACCCAAAAAAAGCCGCAAACAUUGGUGUGAGAAAUGUCAAAGAACUCAGCUUCGUGAGGCUCCCUGCAGAACUCACAAACUCAAAACUUUCAAUCACGCUAGAGUCGAAGAAAAUCCUUCCUUUUCUCUCACCUUUGGUGGCGUUGUAGAAGAACACACCAUAGCUUAUAGCACUCCCAAAGAUCGAGGUGUAAGCUAGAGAAGCCCAGUCACUAACCAUGAGAUCUUCCAAGUGACCAUUCAAGGCGGGCUCGUUGUUAGACGCUGCGAGGAGUAACAAUGGCAAGCCACCAAUUAUCAUAUGCUGCGAGAGAAAACAAAACAGAGUUUUUCGAGCUUGAAAGUUUCAUGGUUUGCGUACCCAGCCAGUUGCCAUGAUCGGAUCCGAGAACUUGCACACCCAGCGAACCAAGAGCGUGCCAAGAGCCAUGCUUUGAGCAGCGAGGAGCAUAUACCACUCUCCGCUGCUCCAAAAACUGGAGGAGAAUUCUAUGCCACCACCGGAGGAAAGUAGUGCUCCCAAGGAUUCAGCUGGAACCUGUGGCAAAUUCCAGUGAGACGAUGCAAGAACUAUGAAGCUUGUGAUCACCUCCAGCAGCAAAAGCCCCGCUACGCCUAGAAGAAGUCCCAAAACUCCCAGAGGCUUGAUCGUUUCGUUGAACAGGAUCGACGCGAGAAUGGCUACUGUCAAAGGCUGCGAAUCUAUGAUAACCUGCAUGAAUUCUAAGUGAGCAAAGAACAGUUUUUGAUUCUAUGAUCGCAAGAACUUACACUUCCAAGUCCAGCGCUUGUUUUCCCAAGUCCUGCUGCUAGGAAUCCCUGGACAGUGUUCGAAGUGAAUGAAACAAAUCGAGGAGAAAACUCCGCAAACCUGGAAGCACGACGCAUCGACGAUGCUGAAGAUGAGAAUGCUAAGCCAUGCAUACAGCCCCGACGGCUGCUUCCGGCCUCGCAAGCUCGCAAAUCCGACUAGCAGCAAUCCAGCCGGGACAAGCCGCGUCGAUGCAACGAAGUAAGGUCCCGCCUUUGGAAGAACUCCUUUCAUGGCCACCAUAGCCGUGCCCCAGAAAAAGAACGGAGAUAUCAGGAGGAGAUUGUCUAGCAGCGCUGUGUCUAAAGCUCCCGAGCUCCCGGUUUGAUCCAUUCUCUUCUCGGCGCUGCUGAAAGCCUUGCUGCUGCUUGCUGGGUCCGAUGAAUCGAUCGCUCUGGACGAGACAGUGCCGCCGAAUCUAAAGUCGCUCUCCAAGUCCCUGUAGACACACUCCACAUCUGUGCCUGUUCCAACGCAGUCCAUCUCCUCAAAACUGGUCGGGAUUUUUCUCCCAUUUUCGAGCAGCUCGGGUUUGCCGACGAAUUUGGUCUCGACGAUUUCAGCUUCGCUCUCGACUUUCUUGCACAACACUCGAAACUCGUGUCUGGAUCGUAUGAUUCUUUGAUGGUGGCACUGAUCCAAGCAAGAUAUAACGCAUUCAUCUCAAACCCAGAUGGAAAAUCUCUUACCGGGAAGAAAGCUCUCCCGAGAAGAGAGCUCGCAUCCUUGACAGGCAGCCGAAUUCCUCUGUGAAUCCUGGAAGCGCCCAAAUGGCUCGAGGCAGCCAUAGCUGCCACGAUACACGAUACCUCGGAUCAAAUGCCGCCGUUGGAUCUUCAUUUUGAAUGAAUCUCCGUCAACCCUAAGAGGAAAUCUUCGCUUGCCACGAUCGAACCCGCGACCUCGAACAGCCUUGCCACGUGGCAGCCUUCCUUCUUCUUCUUUUUUCCAGUAUAAAGCAAGUAUUUCGAAAGCCCUAACAGACAGGUCUGGUAGCGCAAAAAUCUGCGCAUUGCUUGUUUGCUCCUCUCCUCCGAUCGCGGCGCUAGGUCGAUUCUUUGAUUCUCUCAGUGAUCAGCAUUGCAGUCAAUCAGCGCCGGAUUCUAUGAAAUCGCCAUCAGCGAAUGCGAGAUGAGAAGGACAUGCGACGUUCGUGAUCGGUGUCGCCAUGUCCGGCACGGUUCUUGCGAUACAGGAGCCCUCUCCAGUUCUAGGGCAGCUUUCUCGAAAUGCACAGUGAGUUCUCUCUUCUUUUUUCUCCCUUGUUCUUUGGCUUCUUUGUUUUCUUCUCAUUGCUGUGGAAAAAUGGACUCUUUAGAGUAUCGUAUGAUAUGCAAGAAAGGCGAAGGCACCUUCUCGGAGGUGCUGAAAGCACAAUGCCACAAAUCCAACAAAUAUGUAGCUAUCAAAUGUAUGAAGAACACUUUCGACAGUUUAGAACAGGUGACUUAUCUGUUUAUCCUCUUUUCUUUUUCUCAUCCGUGUAGUUUAUCUCAUUUGCUCAGGUCACCAAUCUCCGAGAAAUCCAGGCUUUGCAGAGGCUUUCACCUCACACGAAUGUGAUAAAGCUCUUGGAAGUUCUCUAGUAAGAUAACCAUUCGCUUUGUUUAAAUGUGGUGCUUACGUUCGUCAGUAAUGUUUUUUCUGCAGCGAUCAGCCUACGGGAAGGUUAGCGUUAGUUUUCGAGCUCAUGGACAUGAACAUCUACGAAUUGAUCCGCGGGAGGCGAACCUAUGUUUCCGAAGACCGGAUCAAGAGCUAUAUGUUUCAGCUCUUAAAAGGUAUGCUGACUGUUACAACGCUGAGCUGACAGAUUCUUUCUUUUUCAGCAAUGGAUCACAUGCACAGAAACGGUAUUUUCCAUCGAGACAUAAAGCCAGAAAACAUCUUAAUCAUGGAAGAAUCCCUCAAGGUACUGUGUUUCUCAGCUGUAACCUGUGUGGUUCUAAUGUUUUUUACAUGUGAAUUGCAGCUUGCAGACUUGGGAAGUUGUCGAGGUGUUUAUUCAAAGCAGCCAUACACUGAAUACAUCUCGACAAGAUGGUAACAAACUCGCUGAGGCUUCUUAUUGCUUUUUACGAGAAGAUGGUAACCAGAAAAUUAAUAAUCCGAGUUUUGGUCCAUUUCUCGUUUUCAAGCAUAAACUGCAGGUAUCGAGCCCCGGAAUGCCUUCUUACAGACGGCUACUACAAUUACAAAAUGGAUAUGUGGGGAGUUGGAUGCGUCUUUUUCGAGAUUAUUAGUUUGUUUCCUCUUUUUCCAGGUAUAUUCUCUUGUGGAAGCAUCAAACAGGACUCAUCUGCUCUUUCCAGGAACUAAUGAGUUGGAUCAAAUACAAAAAAUUCAUAAAGUCAUGGGAACACCUCCACAACAGCUGCUAGACAAAAUGAGGAGGUAUUAGAUCCGUUUUUCGGCUUUGUUUCCAAAGUCUCUGUUUUGUCAGCAGGAGAUCUCAGCAUGCGGAUUUUAAGUUCCCCCAGCAAGACGGGACUGGGAUCGCAAGGCUCAUUCCUCAUGCGUCACCGGCUUGCGUUGAGCUUCUAAACAAACUCCUUGCUUAUAACCCGGAUGACAGGUUUGUGAAUUUGCUUGCAACUAAACAUGUCAGAAAUUUUUUUUGUAGCAGGAUAUCGGCCAGGCAGGCGCUGAGACAUCCUUACUUCAAGGAGCUGCGCGAGAAGGAAAAGCUACAGCAGGCCUUUGCGAAUGCUAACAGGGCUAACAGUCUGCGGCCGUCGCCAAGGUACUGGCAGAAAGCUCGGUUUCGCACUUUGUAAAACUUUUAUCCAUUGCAGUCAUCGCAGACUAGCCAUGCACGACGUUUCCCCUCAAAAGUCGAAAGACGAGGAUGCAAAGCUGCAAGGCCUGGGGACUGGGAAUCCGAGUGCCGCAAGCACACCACGAUCAAUGGCUAGUACACAGCUUCCGUGCCUCAACGUGAAUAGCAAAGCUAAAGAGGUACUACGCUAUUGUUUUGUCGUGAGGUUUUUCUCAGUUCCGUUUUAGCUUUCACAGGACGGGAAAGACACAGGUGGUUCCAGUCCUUUAUCUCAUGCUGGGGAUUCACGAACGCCAGCGACGUUAACUUCUGUUAGCUCCGCUGUAUCAGUGAAUGUUGGUGGAGCUACAGACGCUGGGAGUUCUUGCAUGGAUUUAGACGGCGGUGGCGGCGGCGGGUGUAGCAGCUCUACUCAUGGAUUGCCACCGAUCAAGAACAGCUAUACGUUGUCCAUGCUUUCUCCAAAGCCGCAGCUCUCAAGUCUACACAGGCACUCACAUUAUCAUUCACCAAAGGUACUCCCCUUCUGUUUCUUUCUUUGAGACUGAUGGUUUUGGCCUCAGGCACAUAGUGUCAAAGGUGUGAAGAUCGUGAAAGGCACCAAGAGCCACCGUGUUCUUCCGGAGCUAUCGCCCAAGAGCAUCUCCGGAGGAUACAAGCCCGGGGAGCCGCCGCCUUACAAGAAGCGAGCCAAUUCCAAGUAAGGGAGCGUCGUUUUGUUUGUUUCGCCAAUCGAUUCUCCAAUCAAUUUCUCACAAAUGUUUGUCAUUCCAGGUACACAAGUCCAUACUCGCAAAAGUAUAUCAAUCACCUCGCAGCGACAUUGGUUUGACAAAAGAAAAAUGCGAGACUUUUGCUUGCCAUCGACAAAAAGGAAAAGCCAAUUUUUCUCUGUAUAAUCAAACAAGGGAGACCACAUUAUAUUUGUUGGCAGGAGAAGCAGAAAACUACGUGCAAUUCAUGGAUAGGAAUUACUGCCUCAUUGGCAUACUUUUUACUCUCAUUCUUUUACCAGCGAGUCGCGCAGUAGAUCUUCAAUAUGGCGGAAUUCGAAGGCUAACAAGGCCAAUCGCAACGAUAGUAAUGACAGCGAUUAGAGACCUCAUCCAAAAAUCCACGAGAUCGCCUUGGCUAUCAAUGGGCUAUAGCUUCACACGGAGCAUUCCUGUCGGAGGAGGAUAUUUCGUCCAUAUAAGGAUUUGGAUCACUGUUCCUCUUCGCAAUGGGCUCACAGCCUUCGCUCCAUCGUCUUUCCAAGAAUCGACGCUGGAAAUUCGGCAACAGCUCUUUGAUAUUCUCCGCUACGUUUGGGAGUUUGUGGUCGGCAUGCGCAUGGAAUUUAUGAGCGCCGUGGAGGGAAUCUAUGGAAUCGAGUACCACCGCUCUACAAAUCCCCGCGACGAGCUGCUCAGUGUUAAUCACGCCGCUUAUAAUCGCUUCCAAAGCGUGGUUAGCAGUGGCAGCGAGAGCGUCUCUAAGACCAACUUAGUGAGUAAUACCCCGUUUAAGUACCUGCGCGAUUCGCUAAUCUCCACCAGCCUUCGCUAUAAGCUGGAGAUGCGAGGCGGCUGUUACCUCGUGUUGUACGACACAGCUUUUCACAAUGACAUUUGGACCAGUGGCACGUACGGACUUGGCUAUGGAUGCUUCGUGGAGCUCGAGCCCAGCCCUAACCUGGCGAUCUAUGACGAAGGUGGGAAGCUUGUGAGGUAUCUCUACGAAUCUGGCUGUGACAACUGCGAUCGAUCGUCGGCGCUGGUCGUCCAGGACGAUGGGAAUGUGGUGCUCUAUCUGACCGACACUGGCGAGGCGAUCUGGGCUACCGGGACGAAUCGCUAAGCCAGGAAAUGGAUUUUCUGUGAAAAUAUCCGAGCGAUCCAGCGCUGAGGCAGGAAAUCGAUUCUUCUGUGAAAAAACUCGAGCAAUCCAGCGGCAUUGUUUCCCUCUCUCAAAUGUUUACGCUGGGAUCCUCUAGACGUGGCUCCCGGCGGGCGGCUCUCCGGAUUUCCUCCGCCACAGCCCUGUAAUCGGCGGCCUGUGCGACGAUCACAGCUGUGAGAUCGAUCUGGGACGCAAUCUACGUACUGUGUUGAGGCCGAAUGCUCCGCCCAGGAGCCCUAGGAACCCACAAGCUCCAGCUCCCACGUAGAGCGUCGCGAUCCCCAGGGCCUUGCUCGCGAUCGCCGCUCCGGAUCCAUGCGCGCCGGAAUGCUUGAGCUUCCUGGCAACCAACAGCUGUGAAAUCGACAAUCCCGAGUAGAUUGCCGGCAAACAGCACGUAUCGGCGGUCUUCGCCAUAGCCAGAGCUUUAGGGUUUAGCGAAGACUUUAUGGACUUUGAUUGACUUUGCAUUCAAAGAAAACUAUUAGCAAAACCCUAAGUUCUAUGAUGUUAUCAACUCAACUUGUGGCUGUAGCGAUGAAAUCCUGUUGUUCUGUGAGCUCAAUUUUGAAAUUUUUAAACUUUACAACAAUAGACCAAUUCUUUGUUUUGUUUCGCCAAUGUAUUGCUAUAUAAAUCACCUUGCGUGACUUUUGUUAGGAAGAGCCCCAUUUUCUCUGUCAAUCAAACAAAGCUAAACAACAAAACAAGGAAAAAAUUUCAUCGUUGACAAUAGCAAGUUUCGAGCAGAUUAUAAACAUGUGGUAUUAAUACUAACUACAUCCUCCAUGGGGCGAUUUAGUUGCAUCGCCAUAGUUCUCAUUCUUAUUUUCUCACCAGUGUGUGGAGUUUAUAUAGAAUGGGGUGGCAGUAGUGCGCUAUCGAGAUCGAUAGUAACCGUCAUAGUUACUGCGAUUAGAAAUCUCAUCGUGGUUAGCACAAGAAGGCCUUGGAUAUCAACAGCCUUUAGCAUUACACGAAGCGUUCCUAUCGGAGGAGGACACUUCGUCCAUAUAAGAAUUUGGAUCACUACCCCUCUUCGCAAUGGCCUCACAGCCUUCUCUCCAUUUUCUUCCCAAGUAUCGGCUUUGGAAAUUCGACGCGAUCUAUUGGAUAUUCUCCGCAACAUUUGGGAAGUUGUGGUUGCAGAAGGAGUCGAAUUUAUGAGUGCCGUGGAGGGAAUCUAUGGAAUCGAGUACCACCGCUCUACAAAUCCCCGUGACGAGCUGCUUGGCGUUAAUCCCGCCGCACACUACCAAAGCGUGCUUAGCAGUGGCAGCGAGAGCGUCUCUAAGACCAACUUAGUGAGUAACACGCCGUUUAAGUUCCUGCGUGAUUCGCUAAUCUCCACCAGCCUUCGUUACAAGCUGGAGAUGCGAGGCGGCUGUCACGUCGCGUUGUACGACAGAGAUUUGCGCGACGAUAUUUGGGCCAGUGGCACGUACGGACUUGGCUAUGGAUGCUUCCUGGAGCUCGAGCCCAGCCCUAACCUGGCGAUCUAUGACGAAGGUGGGAAGCUCGUGAGGUAUCUCUACGAAUCCGGCUGUGACAACUGCGAUCGAUCGUCGGCGCUGGUCGUCCAGGACGAUGGGAAUGUGGUGCUCUAUUUGACCGACACUGGCGAGGCGAUCUGGGCUACCGGGACGAAUCGCUGAACAAAUUCUCAGCCAGGAAAUCGAUUCUUCAUCCAGCGGCAUUCCAUCUUUCACCUUGUUCAUGCUCAAAUCAAAUUUGUUCACGCUGGGAUUCUCUAGACGUGGCUGGCUCUUCCCCCACGGCCCUGUAAUCGGCGGCCUCAACAAUCUCUUGUUUUAGGGCUAAAGUUGAAGGUAGUUAGUGGAUCUUUGGAUAAAAGUGCUCUUUAUUUUUAUUUGAUCUAUAUAUAUAUAUAUAAAAUUUUGUGAAGGAGUUUUUUGUCUUUAAAUACAUAAACAAGUAAUUGUUAACAACUCUUUGUUUUGUUGUAUUGCUCGUCCAUAUCGCAAAAGGAUACAACUACGCAUGACUUUUGAUUGCUAGACAAGAAGAGGAGCUCCAUUUUCUCUGUUGAUCAAAGAAAAGAAAACAACAAAACAAGGAUUAUCGUUGACACAUGUUGGGUUAUAAACAUGGGGCAUUAAUAUUUGAACUACAUGCUUCAUGGGUCGAUCUAACAAUCUUGACGACAUCGCCAUAGUUCUCAUUCUUAUCUUUUCACCAGUGUGUCGCGCAGUUGAAAUAAAAUGGGGUGGCAGUAGCGAGCUAUCAAGAAACGUGGUAACGAUCAUAUUUACUGCGAUUAGAGAUCUCAUCCAGGCUACCACAAGAAGGCCUUGGAUAUCAACGGCCUUUAGCAUUACACACAGCAUUCCUAUAGGAGGAUACGUUGUCCGUAUAAGAAUUUGGAUCACUGCCCCUAUUCGCAAUGGCCUCACAGCCUUCACUCCAUUUUCUUCCCGAGAAUCGGCCUUGGAAAUUCGACGCCAAUUCUAUGAUAUUCUCUACCGCAUUUGGGCACUUGUGGUCGCUGAAGGCGUGGAAUACAUGACUGCCGUGGAGGGAACCUAUGGAAUCGAGUACCACCGCAGAAAUCCCCGCGACGAGCUGCUUAGUUUUAAGCCCGCAACUCUCUCCCAAAGCGUGGCUAGCAGUGGCAGCGAGAGCGUCUCUAAGGCCAACUUAGUGAGUAACACGCCGUUUAAGUACCUGCGCGAUUCGCUAAUCUCCACCAGCCUUCGCUAUAAGCUGGAGAUGCGAGGCGGCUGUUCCGUCGCGUUGUACGACAGAGAUUUGAGCGACGAUAUUUGGGCCAGUGGCACGUACGGACUUGGCUAUGGAUGCUUCGUGGAGCUCGAGCCCAGCCCUAACCUGGCGAUCUAUGACGAAGGUGGGAAGCUUGUGACGUAUCUCUACCAAUCGGGCUGCGAUAACUGCGAUCAAUCGUCAGCGCUUGUCGUCCAGGACGAUGGGAAUGUGGUGCUCUAUCUGACCGACACUGGCGAGGCGAUCUGGGCUACCGGGACGAAUCGCUGAGCCAGGAAGUCGAUUCUUUUGUGCCAAAAUUCGAGAAAUCAAUGUCUCAAUUAGGAUUUAGGGUUUAUGGUUUCUAGGGCAGAAGAAGAAUGGCGCAAUCUCUCCGCCUGAUCGCGCGGCGCGGCGCACAAUGCCGGGGCAGGACGAAUGCGCUUGGCAGCGGCUGCACCGGAUCCUUGCUCCGCCGGGAUUUCCAUGUAAGCGCCCCGAGCUCCAACAACUUCCUCCUCAACAGCCUCUUCCGCUUUGGCGGCCAGUCCUACCAGCAGCAGCAGCAGCAGCAGCAGCAGGCCGCCGCGGAGGCGCCGCCGCCCAAGGAGGAGCGGCGCGCGCGCAAGCCCCGGGAAUACAUGGAGCGAUCGGCCGACACGCUCUCCUAUGUCAAGGACCUCAACAUCAAGCAGCGCCUCAUGGUGAAGAAGUUCAUGAACUCGUGCAUGCGCCAGGGAAAGAAGACCAAGGCCCGGACGAUGUGCUUCAAGGCGUUUGAGCGCCUGGCGAACCACGGCGACGUUCUCCACAUCCUGGAGACCGCGGUAGAGAAUGUGAAGCCGAUCUGCGAGGUCCGGAGGGUGCGCGUCGCCGGGAGCACGCACAACGUCCCCGCGGCCAUCCCGCUCCACCGGCAGCAGAGCCUGUCCAUGCGCUGGAUCGUCCAGGCGGCCAGGAACCGGUUCAAGGCCAAGAAGAAGAUGGGCAUGCCCAAGGCGCUGGCGGACGAGCUGCUGGAUGCGUCCAAGAGAAGCGGCGCGGCGAGGAAGAAGCGGGAUGAUCUCCACCGGCUGGCCGAGGCGAACAGGACGCUGGCGCACUAUCGGUGGUGGUGACGGUCAAUCCAAAGCUUGACAAUCCAAAAGCUGGUGGAUUCAUCCAUCCAGAAGUUCUGGUUGACACAGCUCUCCUUUCUCCGAGAUCACAUUUUCACCGUUUUGGCGACAAUUGGAAGAAAAACUUGUUUCGUUCUUGCUAUAUACCACAACACUUCGCCUCCAUGACGUGCUGCGUGUGCUUCGUCUUCAAGAAUCCUCCAACUUUUCUCACAUCUAUGUUUAUAGGAACAAUCCUGCCAAAUAGCGGCCAACUCUUUGACAUGCUACAUCUCAACAUAGCAAGUGUUUACAUUUGCAACACAACCAUGUCUCCUAAAAUACAAAUGCAUGAGCAGCUCCUUAGCACUGCUCCUCCUGGCCCGGAAAGAUUGAUCAUCCUGUCAAUCGAAAGCUUGAAAAUAAGAAUCACAUACUAUUUGUGGUGUCAAACCGCCAGAUAUCCUGCCAUGACUACCGCGUCUCUAGGAGGAUCAAGCUCUUGUUUUUGAGCUCGUCAAGCUCGAGGUACUAGCGGCUAUGGCGAUGGUGCUGAUAACUGGUUGUGCAGAGGGUGGAGUCUGCGGAUUCAAAGUUUACGCCGCCGUGCAAAGCUUGCGAGCUCUAAACGCUUCAGCUGGACGUGACGAGCGACGAGUCCGUGCCAUCCUCCGAGGACGUACGCCAGGCUCUGCCGCUAGCCGAGCUUUGCUUUCCAAGUAAACUUCUUGAGGAUGUUCCAGGCAGUGGUUCCCAACAUGGCGAAGCAAAGGCAGGGCCGGAUCAUCAACGUCGGCAGGAUGUUCUUCGCUUGGAGCUGGCGCCACUGGGAUCCAGAUGGUGUGGAUCAUCCCCGGCUCCCAGCUUGGAGCUGUGGCCUAGUGGAAAUGUAUAUUUUAUUUUGUACUUUUAGAUACUUAAAAAUAAUUGAAAAAUAAUAUACUAGAACAAUCUUUAAUUUAUGGCAUGCAAAUCCAAAUAAACAAAUGGGGCCCACCCUAAAUAAAAUGGUUGUGCAUUCUACUUAAUAUAUCUUUCUUGCAGCGCUUCCACUGGUUUGUCCGGCAUGCAUUUUGUGCAGGCCUCCUGUACCCUAAAACCUCCAUGGCUAAGAUCUCUCUGAUUUGCAUCUCAAACAUAGCGGUAUCCUUGUUAGCCAGCUUAGGAAAAAAGCAACAGCAGAUGCCCCCACAGACUUUGCAAGCAGCACCUCACCAUCUCUGAUUAGGGAACCAAGAACCCUAAAGCAUUUUAUACUGUCCAGCGGCAAAGGGGCAACUGAUCGGUACGAAAUGUGAAAUAUGGAGCCGAAAUCAAUCAAGAGCGUCUCAUGAUGCCUUCUUUGUGGCAGCCAGAAGAAGCUUGGCAGCACACAAGAAUACUUUUGAGCAUGGCUGGCCACCUGUUCAUGACACCAAAGUUCCUCGAGAUACUCUGCCAAUCGUUCAAACCUCCACACAAAAAAUUUCCAUGCAUGUUUUUAGACAUUCCCAAGAUUCUGGGUUUCUAAUUUCUGGUUCCGUGCUCCACAAACAUUUGAUGUUGCUCUUCACCUUUAAUAGCUUACAACCUCGACAUAGAAACCACAGACAUCUUAUUGUUCCGGGUAGCACCCAUGACAGUUACCAAGAUUUCGUUGAAGGGUUUAAGUUACAAGAUUGGAGUUGCCAUUCUUGAUGAUGGUAUGGGUUUGUUUACAUAAGUUUGCAUGAAUGAAAUCUCCUAUCUUUGUGUGAUUGAUCUUUCCAUCAAGUGAGUAGUAAAAUACAUUAAUGCCUUUGUGGAGUGGGAAAAGGAAAGUAUGAGUCUGUGUGAGAGAUUUUAGAGUUUUUUUUGUUCUUGGGGUAGUCACUCUUACAAUUUAUCCUUUAAUAUAUGCAAAAAGGGUUUCUUAAAUAACAUGCCUAAACGCAAUAAACCAAAUCUAUACAUAAUGUGAGAAAUUGAUAAAGUUAAUAUUUUACCAUAAGAACAACAUAAUCCACUUGCUUAUAAAAACUAUUACACUCAAUGCCCACUUUUGCACUUGCCUCCACACUCCAAUCAUUUGUAAUUACCUUUUCACCAAUUGAUUGUUAACUAAAUUAAGUGUGAGAAAUGACACUUGUGGGAGCGAUCGAUGCACCAUGCUUUACAUUAAUGUAUUGCAAUCAAAAUAUAUUUCUAACCCACAAGAAAUGAGGUAAAACUGCAUGAAAUGAAAAAUAAAUGUAUUUGACAUCAUGUUGUUUGAGAUCACAUGGCAUCAAGUCUUGAGUGAGUUUGAUGUCUACAUGGCAUAUCUCAUGACAAAAAUAUUAUAUAUACAAUCACAUUUUAAUUGAUUUUAUAGCCAAUUAAAAAUUUAUUUUAUAAAUUAUUUUAAAAAUCAAUUAAAAGUGAUUUGUGUGCAUAAUAUUUUAUAUAUAUAUAUAUAUAUAUAUAUAACACUCCCAAUGUGCAAUCACAUAUUCAUAGUUAUACCAUUUGCCUUUUUCCAUUCUAUUAUCUACACAACCAUCCUUAUUUGCAGCAAUUACCAAACUUUGUGUAUUAGUAAUUUUUUCCCCUCCAAAUAAGUUCAACUAUUCCAUCUAACAUUUGGAAAGGUACUUUAUACCAUACUCAAAGUACCCACUUGUAUCAAAAGCAUUUGUAGACACAAUAUCCCUUAUAUCUAAAGUCACAGAUAUUUUUAUCUUUACAAUGAAAAUUAUCUAUAGUAAUAGUUAAAUUUGAAGAAAUUGUUUUUUCCUCAAAACAAAUGUUUGUGUAGCACCAACAAGGAAUUUUAUCUUUCCCUUGCAAAACUAAGUGAUUAUAUGCUCCACAAGUCACUGUACCUUUCAUUGUGAUAAGAGAUAUGUUUCAAGUCACUGCAGCACCUGUUUAGGUAUGGAACCAUACACUCAAUCCUAGCUGCAACUUCUUUAUUCUCUUUCAAAACUUUCCUCAUCUAGAACUGUAAAAGUCUUCUUCCCAAAACAUCUUUGCAUAGAAAUGGUAUCACCCAUCAGCUCGUUUUCCACAUGACAUUUCCUUCACUGCCUACUAGUGAUGUACACAUCACAUCUCCCCUCCAAGCAUUCUUCACAAUACGCUGAUCGCAUGCUUUAGACUUAACAUCCAUCAAGAUCUGUGGGCCGUCGAAAGCUGUGCAAAAGCUGCUCCUGGUCCAGGAAAGAUGCCACUGCGCAAGGACUGACUGUCACUCUUGAUUCUAUUGACAGGAUGACCAAGUCCAGCCCAGUGGAUGAAAUUUUAUAUCAGCCAGAAGUUCUUAAACAACAAAACAAAGAAAAAGGUCAUCAUUGACUAUUGGUGGGAUCCAACGUUUUGUGUCAGCUUGGUGGUGGUGGAUCCAUUCAUGAUCAUCCAAAAGCUCUUGAUGGUGGAUUCAUUCAUCAAAGUUACGGUUCCUAGAUCACGACUCAUGAGGGUUGAAAGUCUGAGGUUGAAUCAAACUUCUCAACUGGAUCUGCCUUCCCCCUUUUGUUAGAUUUGAUGGAUGAAGAUGGGCAGCUUUUCCAGCGAUUUGGGAUCCAGGCCGAAGUGUCUGUCUUCUUGCUUUCACCAGAAAAGAGAACCAAGACACUGGGACGAUUGCAAGAAAAACUAUUCUCGCUAUAUACUACAACGCAACACUAUCAAACGCUCAAAGACAAGCCGGAGACACUGUUUACCAGGAAGCUCUCGGGUUUGCUGCUCCCAACAACGCGGAAAACUAUCUCCAAAUCCGGCCUCACUCUCGCCUCAAAGACUUGCUGGGCAUGCUUCCUCUUCAAGAAUCCUCCAGCUUCUCUCACAUCUCUCGCCGUGCAUAAGAGCUUCACUUCCAUGUUCAUCCCAAAUAGAAAUCCUGCCACAGUGAGAUAAAACUGUUAGCUCUAGAAACUCGAUCUACAAAGCCAAGAAAACUUGACGCUAGAAAAUCUUCUAGAGAAAUGGAAAGAGGUAAAAAACCAAUCCAGAGCGUACCAAUUGUGUUUCGCAGCCAACUCCUUACGUGCUGCAUCUCAAUAUAGCAAGUGUUGGAACGCUUCACGUUUUGCAAGGCAAGCAUGUCCUCGGGCCGGCCCCUGAAAUACAUGAAGUCUCCCACAGCAAUCCCGCCUCCCUCGAGAUACAAUCUUGAAACAGGUAAAACUUUCGUGUUAGAAAAACCAUAUGAAAACAAGUAGAAGAAGGGAAAUUAUUUCUUACUUGUCCCAAGUUGGCGCGGUGCUGAGGAUGUACUUGAGCUGCUCGUGUGUCGUGUCCUUGCCGUUCAAAGUCGUCAAGAUACUCCUGAACCAGCUCUCCUGGCUCACCUCCUGGUCCAGGAAAGAUUGCCACUGCUCCGAGGUGAGAACUUCUGGCUGAUACAAAAUUUCAUCCACUGGGCUGGAUUCGGCCCGUCAAUCAAAAGCUAGGAUCAAAGAGUGAAAGUACCUGCAGUCUGGAUUGAUCAAAAAGACUUUAUAGUCGAUAAAAUCCGUGGGGAGUUUGACACCCCUUCUCGCAAUGUAUGCCUCGAGCAGUGAUGCGCGGAACUUGGUGUCCUCAACCUACGCAUAAUAGAGUUUAGUGUAAGAAAACUUGUCCAAGUGAAAAAGAAAAACCAAAGAACUUACAACAUCUGGCAGUGUAUGCGUGGUGCCAUUUCUCCUAAUCUGACACCAGCUCCCAUCGCGCUGGAUUUUCACAGUCCCAGCCCAGUUUUUCACUUCAAUCACAUAAAUCUUCCUGGAAAGAGAUCAAGUCAUCAAAGAAGCAACAAAGAAAAACUUUACUUUUUGGUGAGUAUGACCAGAUCAAUCUCUCUCCGACCCUUGCGCUCGCUGUCAGGCACCCGCAGCGACUGGAAGACCAGCGCGCCAGACACGCCUUGGAAUCUACAUGCGCGCCGUGAAGAACGAUCCACAACAAAAAAGAAAAAGAAUCUCACUCACAGCAGCGCUACUUCGAGCUCGCCUAGCCGCCCCGCCCUGUCCGAUUCGUUCUCGGAUUCCCUCUGGGGCCGGGACACAUCGCGAAUCUGCCGGACCCCAGCCAGCAAAUGGAUCGCUGUGGCCGCCAAAGUGCGCAGAACUUCCAUGAAAAUAUCUCCACAUUGCAAGAACCCUAAAAUCCAGGCGGGCUCGACGUUUGGAAUUCGAGCCCGGGACCUCUAGAGCUCCAAUCACUGUUGGGCACGUGUCGAAGCUACCAGCCCAAUUGGCAGUACACGGUUAGCUCAUUUUUGUGUAAUCUGGACUCUUCCGCCACGUGGCAGAAUCAUCAUUUGUCCCCGUUCACACGGCUAUCUGGGCCCCGAAACUUAUCAUACUGGCGAGCGCUUAAGCGUAAUAUAAUCGGAUUUUCCGUUCUUCGUUCUCCCUUGUGGCGUCCUCCGGCUAGGGCGCUGUGGAUUGCGAGGGCGCGCCCGUCGCGGCUAGUGCACAGGCCGGGCAUAAUGCGAUCCAGAAGUGGCUAGGCGAUCGCGCGAGUUUCUUGGUCGAUCAAUCCACAAGGUAUUAGGGUUCUAGCGCAGAUUGCUCUAGGCGGUGUUAAUUGGAAUUUUCUUAGCAGAAGCUAUGGCGGAUCAUAGUCCGCCGCCUGUGGCGGGAGAGAUCGACACAACUGCGCCGUUUGAAUCUGUCAAGGCCGCCGUGAAUCUCUUUGGGGAGAUCGCCGAUUCUAAAGCUUUGAAGUUUCCUAGUGCCGAGGUACUCGCUUAGAUUUUUUUCUCUUUUUUCUUCGUGUGAUCUGAUAAAUUCUCUGUUUUUCUUCUCAGAAGCGCGCAUCGCUGGAGCUCCAGCAGCUUCGCGAGAAUUUGGCGGCGACCAGACAGCAGCUCUCUCAAGCGCAAACGUCCAAAAACGCUCUUUUCCAGGAGCUGCUAGAGACCAAGCGCCUUGUCGAGUUUAAAACUUCUCAGCUCGCCAACGUUUUAUCGUCCAAGCCGUCGAGUUCAGAGGUCGUCCGCCAGGCGGAAGAAACGUACACGCAGAUCGAUGCUGUGUCAAAUGUUGUCCAGGAGAAAUACGAGGAGGCAGUCGCGAAUUUGGCCACCACGGAAAUGGAGGUUGAAAGGCUAAAUGCUGAGAUAGAGAGCUCGGUGGCUGCGCUGGAGGAGCAGCAGCAAGGCCAUCAAGGUGAAGAGAAAAACUCGUUUUUGGCAGAGAACGCAACAGAACCUCCACAAAUCGUAGAUAACACGGAGGGGCUUAAGAACGAGCUAGCUGCGACAAAAGAGUCCGAAGAGAAGCUGCUGGAGGAGAUCGCCGGCUUGAGAUCCAAACUCGACAAGGCGAAAGCCGAGGUAGAAGAAGCUCGGGUUUCAGAGACGAAGGCUACGAAAGCUGCAGGCGACGCGGCUCAGGAGCUCGCAAAUUUGAGAUCGAAACUAGACACUUUGGUGGAGGAGAAGAACACGCUCGCCGCUCUUUCCGAGUCGCUGCGAGACCAGCUCGUCAAGGCAAAGAUGGAGCUGGAAGCUCUCAAAGACGCUGCCGAGUCCGAGGCCCUGCCUUCGUCAAGCGCCGCGGCGGAGCUGCAAAAGGUCCGAACCGAGCUCGCAGCACUGGUUGCGCUGGAGGCCAAGGCAAAAGACACAAUCGCUGGAGUUUCACAGGCUUUACAAAAGGUGACGUUUGAAGCGGACGAGUCCCGGCUAGCCGCCGAGGCCGCUCUGGAGGAAGCCCACAAAGCAAAGCAGGAGCUCGAGGAGGCCAAAGCUGCGGCAUUUACAGCCGAGAGCCGGCUCGAGGCAGCGACGAGGGAGGCUGCGGCUGCCAAGGCCGGCGAAAGCAUGGCUCUCGCUGAACUAAAGAUGCUCUACGAGAAGAAAUCAUCGGUGGAAGAUAUCAGCUCUCCCAGCGACAAGGAGGCGCUCGGCAAAUCAAAGAAAGAGUGUGACAACCUCCGGAAAAGGCUCCAGGAGGCGGAGGAACUGGCGGAGAUGAAAGUAGCGGCGGCGCUGGCCAAAGUUGACGCUGCAAAGGCGAGCGAGCGGGAGAUCCGAGCGAAGCUGGAGGCCGUCCGGGGCGAAGUCGAGACGAACAGAUCGAUGGCGAAGCAGGCGCUCCACCGCGCCGAGACGGCCGAGGCAGCGAAGUCGGCGAUAGAGAACGAACUGAGAAGAAGACGCAGGCCCGCGGACCACUCCACUGGAGUGGCUUCGUCGACGACGUACAGAGGAGGAUCUCCCUUGCAAGCCGGAGCGACGGUGCAAACUCCGGACCGAAGGAUGGAGCCGCUACACCAUCACACGAUGGCGAGGAGGAGCUUGGACUACACCGCGACCGAUCACAGCUUCGUCUCGGCGGACGUCUCGGCCGAGUCCAUCGCGCAGCUCCUCCAGCUCAAAGUUUCGCCGCUCAAGACGUCGCUGCCGAUCGCGGAGAAUCCCGAGAAGUCGGACAAGUCGGAGAAGAAGAAGAAGAGCAAGCCGUUUAUGAAGCUGGGAUCUUACUUGAGCAGGAGGAAGAGCUCAGUUGGAUCCACUUCUCCCAGGAUGUGAGCGAGCGAGCUCGCGAGAUCGCGCGCAUUGGGGUGGAGUGGAGAGAUUUUGGUCGCGGCUUCCCACAAGUUUGGAAGAAAGACAAAGGAGCGCUUCCGAGAAGCUUGGAAGAACAAAGAUUUGCCAAAAGCGCGAAGAAAAACUACACACACAAAGUUACAAACUAAGAAAAUGUGGAGGUAAUGUAUUAAAUUUUUUGGUGUUGUUGUAUUGCUGUGAAUAAAUCUAAACCAUGGAAUAGAUCGAGACACGUGGGUGGCCAGUAUUAUUUCGUGGCGGAUGAGGAGGGAAAAACAUAUUUUAGGGCUCUUCCACUUCCAGCUCGUGAUCUCGCGAGCAAUGACGCUCAUCAAUCUCUUCAGGAGGUACGAGCGCUGGAAUCCCGUGCAUCCCACGUAUGGCGCCUUCUGGGGGAUUGGAUUCGGGCUGGGCUGCGGCGUGGGAUGGGGGCCGGGAUUCGGCCCCGAGGUCAUUGGCUAUGUCGGCUCUGGAUGCGGCGUGGGGAUCAGCGUGGGAGUGACAAUGGUGGGAGUUGGAGUUGGGCUUCCCGCUGGCGGCCUCGCUUGCGUCCCUUCCGACGGUAUGUUCUUGGUUUUCAGCUCAAUUUCUCGAUCUAGUUUGCUAGAAUUCCUGCAUUUUCUGCCUAGCUCUAUCCUUCCACAAGGAAAGUGCCUGUUUGAGCUCGAUUUCUCUGCCUUGCUAGUAAGAAUCUCCCACGAGAAAGAAAGGCCGGAUCUCCAAUCUCCGAGAAACUCGUGUUUCUCUCAGGAAAGAUUGGAGCUGGAGCUUUGAUACAAUCCCUGCCUUACUUUUUUCUUUGGCUCUUGAUUCUUUGCAGAUGUCUCGUAGGAAAAGUCCUAGUUUUCAUGACGAUACUGCUCAUCUAGGUGGAUGCUUGUGUGUGAGUUACUCUUAAAUUUCGGUGAAAUCAGUGUUUCUUCCUUUUUGUGCUUCCAUGUGUUUGAUGAUCGCUUGUACGCUAACGUUUACCAGUCAUUUCCUGCUUUUGGGCUUCUAGAGUUCUCACUCAUGCCUUUUCUUCUUUGCAGUGGUCUCAUACGCGGGUCACGGGAUCAUGGAUUUCACAAAGUCGACCGCAGCUCCAGCAGCAUCGAUCGCUGUAAAGCGGGGAUGGAGUGCGUUGUGUCUGCACAUAGGAACAGCUCUAGAGCGAGGUCGACUCGGGCAUUCCAGUCGCAAGAGCUACAGUCUCGAUGAGUUCCAAAGGCAAUCACUGGUGGCCCUGAGGCAAGGCUGGGAUUCAUUCAGUGGCAAAGUCCGGAGUGCCGGAUUGUCUCGCUUGCGGCCAUGCAAUGCCGGUCUCUUGCAGAGCGAUUCUAAUAGUAACCAGAGUGAGAGACCGCCUCCACCAUCUUAGUGCUUCUUCUUGAGUUGAUAGGAUUGAUUGCUAACUUCGGUUUUGUACGUAAGCUGUUCCAUUUUCCUGUAAAUAAUAAUAUUAGAAUUAGUGAUUUUGUUUUUAUUCGAAGAACUGACGUUAUGGCGAAUAAUCAGCGAGGACGAUCAAGACAAAGAAAGCAAUUGAUUGAGCAAAGCAGUGAUUGGCUCUUGCUCGAGCUUCAAGUUCUCGUCGGUCGCGUAAACCACGCAAGCCUGAGCCUUGGAAUGAAAAAUUUGCGAAAGAUUGUCAAUGGUGUUUGGAAAUAAGUAAUUACAGUUUUAUAACUUAAAAACUGACUCCCAUGACAAGCCGAGGAGAAAGAAGACGAGGUGAUUGCUUUUGUUCAGUUCCACUGCUUGAGAAGGCAAAUCUUUGUCCUCCGUCGUGAAAAUGCUGGAUGGAUUGGAAGAAGUUCCACUGUCGCCCAAGCUCUUCCACAAUUCCGAUGAAGAUCACUCCUGGAGAAAAGGUUCUUUAUGUACUCUCCAAACAGGCAAGAUUUGUAGGCUGCUGGAUGCUCCGAGUCUACAAACUUGUGAAUCGGAGAGACUAGAAUAUUACGAGCUGGAUUGCGUGGUGUGCCUCAAAUCCAAACGUGGCACUGUUAUCACUGGAGCUACCAAAGAAAGCCACAUCAAAGCUUAGAUCUUUCUUCUUUUUUUUUCCAGCUUGUCGAGAACGUGAAGGCGCUGGACGAGCUCUAUUGGUGAUAGAGGUCAUGAAAAUUCCUGGUAAAUAAAAAACUAGAAGUCGUCGCCUGAGAGAUUCGAACUCUCGCGGGGAAACCCCAUGUACUUAGCAGGCACACGCCUUAACCACUCGGCCAAAGCGACACUUGAUCAGAAAGUCCUUCCACUGUAAACAAUCGUCUCGUCCUUUUUAUCUUCAAAUUCUCAUGAUCGGGUAGUUUUUCUGUGAUAUAGCCCCUAUAAUGUCCAGGUUCGUUUCCAUUGCACAAGAAAAAUCGAUUAGCACUUUGAAUCAUCAUAUGACUUCAAUCAUGUUGGAACAAAUGCUCUCAAAAAGCUGAAUCUCACAGAAAAGAGAGUUUACCUUUGACUUGUGAGAAAGCCAGUGUGUCCAUUGGUUUGUAAGGGUGUGCUCAUGUUUGGAAUGUCCCUAUUUGGUCUUUGUUUCUCAUACUAGUCCGAGAGCUUUCUCUCGGGUGGAGGCAGCAAUCCAUCUUCAUCCUCUUGCCGUCCUUGGCGAGUGUUAGUGAAGAACUUCUUACGAACCUCACGUGGAAUAGUUAAUCUAGAAGCGUAAAAACUUUACCGUGUAACCUUAGCUGACUAGCUCUAGAAGACAGGGUUUGAGAAAAGCUUUUUAUACACAUUUUGUGUUUUUCCAUUCAAUUGCUGUAAGCGUAGGCUACUAUGAUCCCCACUGAGGUCAUUUCCGUUUUGAGCAUAAGCCGCGAUCAGCGUUCCAGGCCACCAGGAGCUGGCUAGAAGACAUAAAAGCAGCGUCAACCUGGUUGCGAGGUUAGCCCCAAGCAUCGAGCAAGCAGCAAGAGCUCCAGCGCAAGUCCGGUUUGAUCCCUGCGGAGCUCAUCUCCCUGUAUAGCCGAAUCACUUCCGAGCUAGCUGGGCGUAAGCUGCCAGCAUCGCGUUCCAGCAGUUUGCGCUGGGCUGACUUGCCUGAAAACUAGGCACGUGAGAUCCAGCCUCCUGCACCUUGCGGACAUGGAGACUAGCGCAGCCUCCAUAGAGUAUGACUAUACCUGUCUCCCCUAGGUCUGGACUCCUUCCAUGAUCAUCAGCCGGUAGAGCGUCACCACCUUGAAAGUACGCCUAGAUCAAAAUCCAUCCUCCAAAUCCCUGAGCUCCAAACAGGCACUUGACAAGUGUUCCACACCUUGACCACCUUUGCAUCCUUGUAGAAAAUCUCACUCGAGCCUGCCACACGUGUUGAUGAGUGCCGCCACAGUGAAAGUCGUGUCGCUGGCUUUCAAUCCGAAAUCCUCGUAGAGAUGUCGUUGGUCGAAUCUGCCCGCCUUGGGCAUAUGCCGCGAUCAUCAAGUUCCCUCUAUCCGAUCGAGGCCUCUCGCAACCUCCCAGCGCGAAUACAUCUUCACGAACCCAACGUCCACAACUAUCCCGGAACCCGGUACCAUCAAUUCACGAGUCUUUCACUCUAUAUAUAAGCUAUUUCUGACUGUGGUGCGUGAUUCCUGGAAAUCUGAGCAGAUCAAUAAUUGCUACUUUCCACAGUCUGGGCCUGGAUGAAAGCAAAAAAAUCUCGUUCCCAAGAAAAGAGAAAGCAGCCCUUGCUCUUCUGUUCUGUCCCGGUCGCAUUCUCCUUCCCAAAGGCGACAACCAGUUGGACUUUCGAAAACGGUGAGAAUUUUUUCUGGCUAAGCUCGUUGUCGACAAAAUUUUAUAUAAUUUAACAUGCACAUUUCUUAUCAUCCAGCUUGACCUUUUUGGCCAUCAAACUUUGCUCUGCUUCUUCCUGAUCGCCUCGCCUUCGCUUCAAGCUCGGCUCCAAAACCAUCUUCUUCGUCUCCAGAUUAGGCUCGCCACCCCCCUCCACCAAAUUAGACAAUUUCUGUUGUCGUGCAGAAUGCUUGACUACCCAUGGAUGCUUCUCAAUUUCAUGGAUUGGCAGCCUCUUUCUCGGGUUCAAGUGGAGCAGCUGGAGAAUGAGAUCUUUGGCUUCCUCGGUCACAUCCGUCCAGUCAAGAGAACUCAACGGCACAUCCUCCCUCCCCAUGCAUAAUGCAAUCGUCCCAGACAAUAUCUCGUACAAGACAAUGCCCAUGCCCCACACAUCUACCAUCUCAUCAUACUCAUCAGAAUUCACCAUCUCCGGGGCACUGUACAUUUGCGUCCCAGCCAAGUUGCUCAUUCUAAAUUUUAUGCCUGGCCCCUCGCUCAACCAACGCACUCCAAAGUCUGCCAAUUUUACACUAUCGAACUUCUCCUCAAACCCUGUUGUCAGUCUUGAUGUCCCUGUGAGCCAUGCCCAUGUCAUGCAUUUUUCCCACAGUCCUAGCCACAUUCUUGAUCACCACUGCUGCCUCAUGCUCGCUCAGUUUCUUCUUUUUCAACAACACCUCAGUCAACGAGCACUGGCAUUGGUCCAUGAGGAGGAAAUAGUGAUCUUCGUCCUUGAAAACAUCCACUAGUUGAACCACGCCACUCCUCUCUUUACUCUUGGAGAGUUUUGUGAGUACUCUGAUCUCCAAUUCAGCUUGGUCUUCAAGAGUAGUCGACUUGCAAGCAAACAAUCGACCAUCACUCUUACGUUUCACUUUGUACACAAUGCCCUCCCCGACCCAAUUCCUUUUCCACCGAGAACAAGUCUCUUAUGCUUGCCUGGUUAAACUCCAUUGCCUCCAUGGAUCGCACGAGUGCCCUUUGCUCGUCCAUCAAUCUCUUUGAUUCAGUGCUCUCCCGUUCCUGCUCUUGUGGGAGAGGCAGUUUAAGUAACUCAUAGAGCUCCUCUUUCACCGAGUAACCCAUCUAAGUCGAUUCCUUGAAACUGAGCGUCAAGCGCCAUCCCUUGAAAGUUUCUUUAGCCCUACUCUUGCUUUUUUAUAAAUUUUUAACUAACAUUUUCUUUUAUACAAAAAGGCUAGAACAUGAAUCUUCUCACUUUUCUGACCAAAUGGUCAAAUGCUUAAUUUUAGAGCUCGAAGACAAUUUUCCUUUAGGAACUUUUCUCCCUUGAAUUCCCGUAGAACAGUGUCUGACUAAAAGACAGCUGCCAAGGAAAUAACGGUGCCUGCGAGCCAAACAAUCUCAGUGGCGUUCAAGGAACAUGGACCUUUAUACUGCAGUGCUUGCAUCUGUUCCAAAUCCGCGAGCGCUUCCACUUGAGCCUCCAAACUCCUGCCCUCCCAGAGGGGUUUCUGUGUCUAGGACUAUAACAACGGACAAACAUGAAUGACAGUCCAAUACCACACUAGCAUGUCUUUUAAAUCCGAGAUGGGUUCAGACGAGAAAGUUCCGUCUCCUAGUCUGGUGUAAUUAGAUUCGUGCCUAAUUCUGUUUGUUUCGUCAAUGCUUGAUCAUGCUUGAUCGAUCUUGCUCGAUAUGGCGAUGAGCGACUGCAAUGUAUUAGUUUUCUGCAACAGUGUAUUGAUUUAGCAUGAUGCAGAAAUUAAUAUUCAAAUGCCAAACACCUUUUCAAUGUCGUGAAUUAGAGAAGCCUCCAGCUUUUACAAAUUAGAGAUAUCACUCUUAAGCUGCUUGGGCAACGAUUUAUGAUGCGAGCGCGUUGCUGCCAGUUUCGGUAAACACUUGGUUGAUCUUCUGAUCUAUAUGCGUGCACCUGUUAAGAAAAAAAAAAACCAAGUUAAAUGCGUAAAAAUAUUUUUUUAAAAACCAUCUCCAUUUUCACUAUUGUCAUGGACUUGAGCUUUAACCGUAGCAUGAAACAAACAACAAGGUGCUAACCUUCUAUAGUGCUGCAACGAAUAAAAAUUGUGGCGACGUGGGGGUCCAGCAAAUUUUAUAUCCUUCCAAUCGUCUAUACUUGUCCAAAUGCUUUGUGUCAAACCUCAACUUCUUGAGGAGAAGAACCACAUCCGAAUAAGAUGCUCUGAUUUCCACAGAGAUAUUGUCAGUAUCAAUUCCAAACUGCAAACAAACUUUAAGUUUCCAGAGAGAUAGAUAGACAUUUUUACAGUCACCACAGCGCCCGGGACGCUACUACCUCUAUGACUAUUUCUUACUCUCCCUCUCCUCCAUCCAAAACGUUGGACACAGUGAUCAAGCAAUGUAUAGCAAGAAGAAUCUCGGUGGUAACCAGUUCUCCAAGUUUUCGGGUCCUCAAGGUGUCCUUCUAAAGGUGUGCAUUUUUUUAAAAUGCCAUCUUGUUGUCCGUAUACAUGCUCUCUCUCAGAGUUCGAGCCAGUGUUUAUUUAGUCGUCUCUGCGGCUUGUUUCGUCUUGUCUCUCAUCUACAAGAUUCGUCUCAACACCACAUCUUUGAUUCCAGAGUUUUUAUUUACCUGCUGGAGCAUAUUUCCUGAGCAGUGCCUUUCAUAUCCUGCACAGCGACAAUCUCCGAAUGAAACGAAGAAGGAGAAUAAACAGAAAGAAACAAUAAGACUUCACCUCUUUCUUCUGAUCAGCUUGGAGAGGUUUCUAAGCAUGAUUUCUUCUUGCUUCAGCUGCAAGUUAUUUAAAACUAAUUACCUUUUAUGAUAUAUAUAAAUUAAGCCUCCUUUUGUGAGUAUAAAAGAUCUCAAAGAACUACUAGGCCUUUCUCAUUCUUUUAGUCAGUAAAAGGGCAAUGGAGUAUAAUUGUCAAAGAGAUUGUUGAAGAAGUGUAAGAGGCAUGCUGAAGACAAUAAAAACAAACUCAAACAUCAUCAAUUUGACAUAGAGCAUAAGGAUUAUAAGUCUUCAUUCACACCUUUUGACUUGGAGGCAAAUUUGGAUUCUUUGUAUAAGAAAUGAUAAAACACCCCAAGAGGAGGCUUCUUAAAUGGAUGGUCCAUAUAUUAUAUUAUAAUAAUUAGUGUGUGUGUAUGUAUGUAUAUAUGUAUAAAUGUAUUUAUAUGUAUUUACAGAUUUUAUAUUUUCAUUAAAAAACUGAGUAAAUUUUAGAAAUUAUUAUAUUUAUAUAUUAUUACCAAUUUUCAUGUUAUAAAUUAUUUAAUAUUUAAAAUAAACCAAACAUUAAAAAAAUUAUUAAUAUUAACUUUUAUAUAAAAAUAUUUAAUAAUUUACAACUUAUUGUAAUUCACUUACAAACUUUAUGAGAUACAACUAUUAAAAAAAUAUUUCAAUUUUAAUUUAUUAUAAGUCUAUUAAUUUGUAAUUUUUAUAAUAAGUUAUAAACUAUAACUUAUAACUAUAAGGUAGUAUUACUGUUUUUUUUUACAAAAAUUUUAUCAAUCAACUAUGCCAAACAAAUAUCUCUUAAAUAAAAAUGUAUUUUCUGAUGUUUAACUUGUAAAUUAAUAGUUAAAACACUAAAAAUUUAUAGGUAUAUACAUUGGUAUAAUUAUAUUUAUAAUAUAUAUAAAUAAAUAAAAAUAAAAACUCUUUUUAUAUUAAAAAUUUAAUAUUUUAAUUUUAAUUUGUAGUGUGAGGGCUAAGUGUACAGCUACAAUGCCGUAUACUAAUAUUAGCAUAGUGGGAUUUUGGUAGCCGUCAGAUGGGUUUCAAUCCGGACCACUUGCUCCUGUAUAUAAGCUAGGGUUUUUGGGCUAAUUGAUAUGCAUAUUUCUGUAUUCCCUUUCCAUAUUCCAUGCACUCACAUUGGUGGACGUGAGGGGCACCUUUGAUUGUCCCUGGGGAGUGCUUAAAUUUGGGAUUUCAGUUUAGAUCUAGCUUUUACAUUGUCUAGAUCUAGCUUUUUCCAUUUCCUUUAUUUUGUUCUUUCCUUUCAGGAUUUUGGUUUAGAUCUAGCUUUUUGCAUUGUUUAGAUCUACCAUUUCCUUCUAGCUUUUUGUCAUUUCUCUUCUUUUGCGCUUUCUUUUUCAUUCGUCUCCAUGGCAGAUCAGCAAUCUCCUCCUUUGACUCUAGAGCAGCAGUUGGUACAAUUGCUUGAUGCUAUGCGUUUGCAAUUGAGCAACCAAACUCAGUUGAUGGCGGCGUUCAUGGCACAUGGUACAACUCCUCCUGCUCUUGGUGCCAAUCCUUGUGUUCAGCCAGAGUUCUUUCGCGGGAAUCCUGGGGAUGAUGUGUACCACUGGUUUGAUCACUUUACAGUGAUUACCACAUAUCAUUCUUGGGAUGAUGCUUGACGUUUGUGUGAGUUUCUCACGUGUCUCCAAGGGACGGCAUUGCAGUGGUACAACGGUUUAGGAGCAGCCACUCACGGGGAUUGGAGUGUUCUUCCGGAUGUCUUCAAACGCACCUUCAGACAUGCCGAUGACUGUGAUGAUGCUUUCUAACAAUUGCAUUGUCUUCACCAAGGGCCAUCUGAGUUGGUGAUGCAAUUUGGUGUUCGUUUCUGAAGUCUUUUGCUUCGUGUGGAGCCAAAUAUGUCAGAGCGGAUCAAGUUAGGAAUGUUGUGGCUAGCACUUUGGCAAGAUCUUGUCGGACUUGUGCAUGCACUUGCUCCCGCCACCCUUGACGAUGCUCUUCGCUUGGCACAACGUUAUGAUACGUCGCCUCUUCCACUUCUCGCUCCUUUAGCUCCACUUUCUAUGGGUGAUGGUCCUGUUCCAAUGGAGGUUGAUGCUGCUACUGCUCGAAUCCAAGGUCAAGGGCGAGGACGUGGUCAUGGCCGUGAUGUUCGUUGCUGGGCAUGUGAUGAAUUUAGUCAUACUUAUCGGCGUUGUUGGCAUUUUCCGGAUUGGCGACCUUCAUUUCCUGGGUGGAGACCUUGGCAUCAGCAAUGUCCCGUUGGUGCUGCUACAAUGGAAGGUUUGGACACCGAGAUGCAUUCGGGAAACGAGGAGUUCCGCGAGUAAUGGAGGGACCUUGCGCGAAUAAGUUAGUGACCCCUCCAUAUUUCUUUCAGGAGUAUCAUCAAGGGGUUCACUCAGCACCAGUUCAUCCAGUGUUUACUUUCCAAGCUCGUCUUUAUAACAAGAGGUCUCCUAUUAUUCUCUCCGUAUUGGUUGAUACAGGUUCGAGUUUAUCUUCUAUUGCUCGACCUGUUUCCACACGUUGUCGUCUACACUUGGAUCAUGCGGUAGAACCAGUUUUCAUUCUUUAUGGCAACGGCCAUACACAUGCAUGUGCACGGGAUGAGGCAAACCUAGUUGUGCGUGUGGGUGAUCUCGAGCUUGAGUUGUAGUAGUUGAUCGCACUGCACCAUUGCGAGCGUUACUGAAGUCAUCAACGUCAUCUUUCAUUUGGUCUCCGGAUUGUGAGCGGGUGUUCAGGGAUCUCAAAGAAUUAUUAACAACUCCUCCAGUUUUGGCAUAUCUUGACUACACUCGACCUUUUAUUUUGCGCAUGGAUGCUUCUGACAUUGGUCUUGGAGGUGUGUUAAUGCAAGAGAGCUCGAGUGUGCUUGGUCAGCGCCAUCCCAUUGCAUAUAUAAGCCGUACAUUAUAACCAGCGGAGAUGAACUAUACGAUAGAGAAGGAGUGUUUAGCAGCAGUCUGGUUCGAGAAACUUCAUGCAUAUCUACAUGGUUCUCGGAUAUUACUUGAAGGUGACCAUGCUGCUGUUACUUCGUUAUUAAAGCGGAAGAACCUGGUUGGUCGUACUGCUUAGUGGGCUUUGAAGCUUCAAAUAUAUGAUUUUGAUGUUGUUCACCGCCCAGGAAGUUCUAUGGUUGAUGUUGAUGCCUUUUCUUAAUCUCCUCUUCCUUCUUCACUCUCUUCUCAUGUUUCUGACGAGCCUGUCAUUCUAGCAUCUGUGGAUUUUCUAGACAAGGAUCCCGUGCCGUCGGCAGUUGUUGUACUUGACGUUCAAUGUCCACAAGGUGUAGAGCAAAAUCUACCUUCGCUUGAUACGGUUCGCGAGGCUCAAAAGAUUGAGCCAUGGAUUUGAAGGCUUCGGGAUGGGUUUGAGAAUCCGACAUCACUUGCUGAUGACUUGCCUUUCUGGCAUUUACAUUCUCAAUAUCGUUUUGAAGAUGGCCUUCUUUAUUUUGUGGGGACAGAUCCUGAUGAUCAUUUAUGGCUGGUGGUGCCUUUUAUCUUUAUUCUGUGGUUUCUCCAUGCCUACCAUGCUUCUCCUAUUUUAGGUGGGUAUAUGGGACAUUGUCAUGUAAUCGAGAAGCUACACAGGUUUUUCUAUUGGUCGGAGAUGUGACGUGAUAUUAUCUGGUAUAUGCGUAGCUGUGUUUGGUGCCAAGCUCGUAAUACUCCUCCUCGGGCUACGGAAGGACGGUUAGAGUCAAUUGCAGUUUCCCGUCUGUUUGAGUUGGUGGUGUUUGAUCUUAUGGGACCUUUUCCACGGUCGACUACUGGCAAUGAAUAUGUUAUUAUUGCUUCUGACUAUUUGACUCGUUGGGUGGAAAUUAGUGCUCUUGCUAGUGCCUCUGCAACUGCUGUUGGAUAUUUCCUCCUCAAUCGAGUGGUGUUCUAGCAUUCUUGUCUAGAGCGGAUUCUUUCAGAUAAUGGUCUCGCAUUUAUGGCUGAGGCAUUUCAUGUUUUGAUGUCUCGGUUGGGGAUUCGCCACACUUUCGCGAGUGCUUAUCAUCCACAAUCAAACGGUCUAGUGGAACGGCUUGUUCGGAUGUUCAAGGGGAUGAUUGUGAAGUAUGUGAACUUUCAGUAUUCAGAUUGGGAUGGUUAUUUGCCAUCUUUUCGGUAUGCAUAUAUCACUGGGGUGCAGAGUUCUGUUGGUGCUUCACCAUAUAAACUCCUAUAUGGUCAUGAUUUAAUAUUACCAACGGAGCUGGGUUUACCUUCGCAAUUGCCACGAGUUGCGGAUGCUAGGUCAUGGGAUCAAUAUUUGACAAGCAUUCUUCCACUUGUCCAAGCGGAGUCUGCCAAACACUUAAGCUGCGUACAAGUGGGACAACAACGGCGCUACAACUCCCAUCAUCGUCCACCUGCGGAGUACAAAGUGGAUGAUUUAGUGUUAGUCUAUUUUCCCCAUCUUAUGGUACGUGGUUUAUCUAAGGGGUGUAAGCGACUAAAUUUUCCAUUCUACUUUAGUCACUUAACCACACCUCCGACCACUUGGAGGAGUCUCAUUCACAACCUCCAUCAGUCCAAUUCAGGACUUGGGACUUGCUAGCCCCAAGAAUGGCAUCCAUGCCACUCCACACUUGCACCUGGUCCAAGUGCUCCACGUGCCCGGUCCUGAGACCGACACCCAAAGGUACCAUUGACAUCUCGGCCCGUUACGCUAAGGCCAUGCCCAUUCACCUUUGCUGCACUAGUGGUUCAACACCACUUGCAUCACCACCUCGUCUCUCCAAGACUGGGCCAUGUGUCCACGAGUGGUCAUCCUAGAUCCACUCCUUAGCAUCCUUAGGAUGCCCACAGACCUGGGGAAUUGCCUUCCCCAAAGUCCCUUUGUCAGUUCCUACCAAGUCCCUUUCUGCCCCUGGCCGUGUUUGCCAACACUGCCACUGGAUCGAGGCCCACAGGCCCGACCACUAAGUCCCACGGUCCUCUGGAACUUCCUCACCACAUGACUGUGUCCUUGGUCACUACCCCAGAGGACUGCUCCUCUUCCUUUCCACAGUCUGGGCCUUUGGGACAACAUUUCGGAACACCGUGGCCUUACGCGAGCCACCUGGGUACUCUCCCCACCUAUCGCCUUUAGGUGCUCUAGCCAUGGGCUUAGAGCGAGGUUCCAUUGAGCCACGCUUGGUAUCCAAGUAGGUAGUGCCAUCCACACUUGGACUGGGAGCAUCGGCCAGUCAAUCUCCCGGGGGAACUAGAGCCGGCUCUUGAACACUUCACCAAGCUACCCCGCUUGUCGGUCCGUAUUCACUCUAGUCUUGGACUUCCCAGUGGUCAGUUCAUCACCCAACACUGGGUCUGGCCUUCCUGGGCCAAACUGGCCUUUCCUGGCCAAACUGGCUCCACUGCAGUCCUCCCCCUACUAUACUUUUGGAGCUCACCAAACCCCCCAGGGUCUGGGAGACGAACGCUUUGGGCUUUCACCCUCUCAGGCUCCGGACUCGGACUCGGACUCGGACUCGGACUCGGACUCGGACUCGGAUUCGGACUCGGUCUCGGGCUCGGGCUCGGUCUCGGCCUCGGCCUCGGUCUCGGUCUCGGUCCCGAUCUCGGUCUCGGUCCCGGUCUCAGUCUCGACUUCGGACUCCUUCUCGGACUCCAUCUCGGACUCCAUCUCGGACUCCAUCUCGGACUCCAUUUCGGACUCCAUCUCGGGUCCAUCUCGGGUCCAUCUCAGACUCCAUCUCGGACUCCAUCUCGGGUCCAUCUCGGACUCCAUCUCGGACUCCAUUUCGGGUCCAUCUCGGGUCCACCUUGGACUCCAUCUCGGACUCCAUCUCGGACUCCAUCUUGGGUCCAUCUCGGACUCCACUUCAGACUCCAGCUCGGGUCCAUCUCGGGUCCACCUCGGACUCCAUCUCGGACUCCACUUCGGACUCCAGCUCGGGUCCAUCUCGGGUCCACCUCGGACUCCAUCUCGGACUCCACUUCGGACUCCAGCUCGGGUCCAUCUCGGGUCCACCUCGGACUCCAUCUCGGACUCCACUUCGGACUCCAGCUCGGGUCCAUCUCGGGUCCACCUCGGACUCCAUCUCGGACUCCACUUCGGACUCCAACUCGGGUCCAUCUCGGGUCCACCUCGGACUCCACUUCGGACUCCAUCUCGGACACUCCCACGUAUCAUGUGUUGGUCCUUUUGGGUCCCUUUUUGGAGCCUCGCCUUUUGCUCGCUUCGUGCUCGUUCCUCGAGCACUUCGUUGGGAGUUUCACUCCCGCUCUUGACUUUUCAAGUCGGAGCUUUUGGUCCAAACGUGUUACGCUCGUUUGGCUCUCGCUUCGGCCACUACCAUGUGGCGCCCUUCCGGCUCCACUUUGGGGCCUAGGGAUUUUGUGUCUCACAACUCCACCACCCAUAGACGAAGUUCGAUGUCCUCAUCGAACAGUAAACCCUUUCAUAAAGUAACACCCACACGUGUUACCAUUUCCAUCCUUGGCACCUAGCCAAUCUUUGUCUAUGGUUUGACAUCAAAGGCUCACCAUGCCUUGUCCAUCCUUUAAGGGGCGUAGUCUCUUCAACUUAGAGACUGAUUGGACCACAUGUAACGGUUCUCCCCUUUUAUUGGUUUAGUUCUCGCUAAACCUCUUAGAGACCCUUCUCUAAGUCAAUCCCACUACUCCUUCUCGAGUAGUCUCAAUUUCCAUCUAUUGAAUGUUUGCACUUUGGAACUUUUACUCUUUUGACUUUUUGGAAGUCAAUCUUCUAGGUGUCUCCAACACCUUGCAUUGCACAGAUUGUGCAACUCCACUUUCCUAUCCUAGGAAGUUCAUUACUUGAGGGCACCAUCAUCCUCUCUUCUAUUUUGUGCCACCUUGGGCACUAAGUUCCAUUUAUCAUACUUUGUGCUAGGGCUGUCCAUGGCCCUAUCAUUUGGCUACCUUACCGCUCCCUCACUUGGAGCCUUUACUUCGCCAAAUUGGAGCACUUAGGAAUCCGUCCUUGAAAGUCCGCUUCCUUUCCCACAAGCUGUUAGCAUCGAACACAUCAGUGUUCCUUGGCUAACUUUGCCAUUUGGAUCCCUUCCAUUAAAUUCCAUGGCCCAAACUUUGGCCACUAGUCCUUUGCUCCUAUCCUUGAUUGUUGCACCCAGCAACAUCGGAUCGCUACCUCCAUUUUUGAGGUAUCUUUUCGGUUCUAUAGCAAAGACUCUUCUUUGCCAAGUCCGGAGGAUGUUCACCCCUAGUAUGUCUCUUUAGCAUAUUCUGCUAUGGGCUCUAUCCAUGGCCCAACUUCGUGACCCUCCCAUGGGUCUUUUAUAGAGACUACUUUCCUCGGACUUACUAUGCCAUCGGACGGACAUAGUUUAUUUCCCUUAGGUGCUCUUCCCACUUGGUCAUCACGACCAAGCCACACCAUCUUAAACAGUUCAAUUUCAACAUUUUGAACCAGGAACUUCAUUCCUUAGCCAACCAAGGACCUUGUCCUUAUCUGGCCAUAAGAUCACCUAGUGAUCUCACCUUGGCACCUUAACAGAGUUGCCAAGAGGUACUUGGUCUUCUAGACCUCCAAGUUGUUGACUAUAACCCCGGGGGCAUUCCCCACACUUGGCGGUGCACCCAAGCUAACCCUUACUUCCAAGGGUUCAUAGCAACUAAGAUUAGGUGUCCCCAUCUCACUCACCACGACCUUGGUGCCACUUGCACCAAAGCGUUCAAGUUAGAUAUGCCAAGCUUUCACACUAAGCAAUCUAACCGUGCAUCACGACUCCGAGGCAUCCCUCGCUUGGCGGUGUGCCCAAACCAGUCUCCCCACUGAGAGUCCAUGACCACCGAAAUAUGAGUGUCCUCAUAUUCCAAACCAUCACCACGCCCUAGUGAUUUGGGACUCGAACCCAAGCACUAGAGGGUCGGGAAUCGAACCCAACCUCCGUAUAUGCAUCUACGGACGGCAUCACACUAGAUGCCUGGCGUGACUCCCCACGCCGGUGCACCAACCUAUUUUUAAAGCGCGCUACAGAUCACAGCUUAGGAACCUAGUUCCUCCACACUGCCAAGUCCUCUCACUUGACAUGUCUGUGAUCAUGCAUGGACUCCUCCAUGCUCGGCCCCCUGGCCCACCCUUUUUGAAGAUAUCACCUUCAACUAGGGUCUUUGUUCCCCCGACGUGCCAAUCUCACUUGGCAAGUCCUCCGACCAUUGUAACAUGGUUCCUGCAUAAGCGUGAAAGUCCUUGACCAUCGACUUUCGUUCAAAGCCCUCUCUUUGAACACCUGGGAACUACUUCCCUAACCUUGAUAACCUUGCCUCAUGGCAAGCUUCAAGACCACGCUUCUGCUGUGCCACUCUGGUUUCGCGCGUUCCAUGAACCAUUUACACUUGGCCUUUUUAGGUAUUACGCUACCUAGAAUCGUCUUUGGGAACCUUGAAGGAACUCUGUCCCUCAGCUUGCUAAGGCCUCCCCUUUCGCAAGCUUUAUAGUUGCCAUAUAGUCUAACAUGGACAAUUCCAUAUUUUAGACUCUCCAUGGCAUCACGGUUGCUAGCAACAACAUCCUCGAGCACCCUCUUGAUUCUCCACUCCCAACUUUCAUAACCACAAUUGGAUAUGCCCUUUGAUUUCUAUGGUUCAGUUCCAUCCCAACACUACUUGCCUUUGGCUUCACACCUUUCCUUCAAUCAUUCUCCUCCAGACCAGGAGGAUAGCUUUGCACUUUCUAUCAUGCCUUAGCAAGUAUUCUUAGGGAUGAACCUACCCAAUAGCCCAGGGAGUGGUUCCUCAAUCCGGGUAUGCUCAGCUUAUAAUCCCACACACUGGGGUUACGUUGUUGCUUAUGGGCCUUUACAUGCCCAUCACUAGCCUUGCCAAAAUUCCAUUUUUGGCUUUGUCCAACUUGGGUAGACAGUCCUCUCCUAUCUCCGCAACCUUGGACAUUUGGAUAGCACCUUCUAUCCAUCAUUCGCUAGGGACUUAGUCCCUUGGGCUUUAUCCAUUGCCCUCGCGACAUCAAACACCACCUUCUGGUGUUCUAGAGUGUUCGGGUGUCCCAAUGAUGGCUUUCUUGACAAUGAGUAUUUCCUUUUAUGACAUUGACUUACUAUAUCGCAACAUAAGCAACUUAUCCCCCGUAAGGGUAUAUCCGACUUCCCUAUACUAGAAGUCUUGGGUAGCUACCUUCUACCCGUUUAACCAGUUAUUUUGCACCUCUUGCUUAGUUGCCUCAUAGUUGUCAAGUCCUACAACUCAUUGCUUGGUGCUUUCACACCUCCAUCACUAUCUGGGUCACCACACUCCAACUGCAUGCUCUGCAGCUUAGGCUAUGCCAUUCCCAUUUCCAUUGGGAUUCCUUUGGCAAGGGGUUCUCAUGAACCCACCAACAUAGCCUCAAGGUAUCACACCUUGGCACAUUUGGUGUCUCCACACCAUCGGCUCCACGAGCCUACCUCUAUGACAUUUCCCUUCGUGUCUAAGUCUUUGCCAAGACCAACACCGCUCUUUCUUAUGCCAACCAUCUGUUAGCACUGCCCCAUAGAGGUCACACACAACUUUAUGUCAAAGUUGUUUUCUUCUGGGAACACCUUUCCUAUAACUUUAGCAUGGCACAUUUUGCCAUCGAUGAGAUACUCUCUGUUCUCAUCCUUGGAUCCUAUGAUCCCAUCCUUUGUGGGGUACAACGCACCUCAGUCCAAAUGCUUCAUUCAGUCCUUUUUAGGACCAUCCCUUGACUCUACUUGAGUCGUUUAGCAGUUUUGGACUUGGUUAAUCCACCGGCCCGUAAGGUCCUACUUGUGAGGCACUAGCUCACUGGAAUACACAUCUUGCAUUCCGGUCCUACUCAAAAGGACUAUUUUCACAAGUGUUACUCCGACACUUGAUUUUGUUCUCUGGGGGCAACCUUUGCCCCUUAGGACUACUUGUCCAUGUGAUGAGAAUACCAACUCAUCCACUUAAUACACCCCCAACUCCUUGGGUUGUUCCAGCAUUUAUUAGAGGUAGCCCCGGCUACCAUUUCAAGGACUUGAGUCCUCUUCCGUAUUUGACCUUCCACGGUCAUUACCUUUGGUCUCACAUUCAUGAGCACCAACCUCAACUAUAUGAGGAUAAUCUUGUGACUCCUUUAUUGUCUUGGAGUCUCUAUCUUUCCCGUGAUCCCAACUUUAGUUGUUUACCACAACAACCUAAGCCAAUUUGCUGAGACAAAUGCUCAUCCGGAUCACAUCCUCAAUUCAAUGAGGAAAACCUUGCACUGUUCCCAAGAUCCCAAAGUCGUUCCAUUAUUGGCCCUUUUCUAUCCACCACCUCGUCUACAAGUUCACACAUGAACUGUAAUGGAGAGCCAUGUCUUCCAGACUUGCUACUCCUCAAGGAUAGGCCCACUCCUCAGACCUUCCGAUGCCAACACUAGUGGUGAUAUACUUGAGCACCAAUAAAAGUCGGACUAAGGAACAGCUCCGAUACCAAAUUGUAAGCGACUAAAUUUUCCAUUCUACUUUAGUCACUUAACCACACCUCCGACCACUUGGAGGAGUCUCAUUCACAACCUCCAUCAGUCCAAUUCAGGACUUGGGACUUGCUAGCCCCAAGAAUGGCAUCCAUGCCACUCCACACUUGCACCUGGUCCAAGUGCUCCACGUGCCCGGUCCUGAGACCGACACCCAAAGGUACCAUUGACAUCUCGGCCCGUUACGCUAAGGCCAUGCCCAUUCACCUUUGCUGCACUAGUGGUUCAACACCACUUGCAUCACCACCUCGUCUCUCCAAGACUGGGCCAUGUGUCCACGAGUGGUCAUCCUAGAUCCACUCCUUAGCAUCCUUAGGAUGCCCACAGACCUGGGGAAUUGCCUUCCCCAAAGUCCCUUUGUCAGUUCCUACCAAGUCCCUUUCUGCCCCUGGCCGUGUUUGCCAACACUACCACUGGAUCGAGGCCCACAGGCCCGACCACUAAGUCCCACGGUCCUCUGGAACUUCCUCACCACAUGACUGUGUCCUUGGUCACUACCCUAGAGGACUGCUCCUCUUCCUUUCCACAGUCUGGGCCUUUGGGACAACAUUUCGGAACACCGUGGCCUUACGCGAGCCACCUGGGUACUCUCCCCACCUAUCGCCUUUAGGUGCUUUAGCCAUGGGCUUAGAGCGAGGUUCCAUUGAGCCACGCUUGGUAUCCAAGUAGGUAGUGCCAUCCACACUUGGACUGGGAGCAUCGGCCAGUCAAUCUCCCGGGGGAACUAGAGCCGGCUCUUGAACACUUUACCAAGCUACCCCGCUUGUCGGUCCGUAUUCACUCUAGUCUUGGACUUCCCAGUGGUCAGUUCAUCACCCAACACUGGGUCUGGCCUUCCUGGGCCAAACUGGCCUUUCCUGGCCAAACUGGCCUUUCCUGGCCAAACUGGCUCCACUGCAGUCCUCCCCCUACUAUACUUUUGGAGCUCACCAAACCCCCCAGGGUCUGGGAGACGAACGCUUUGGGCUUUCACCCUCUCAGGCUCCGGACUCGGACUCGGACUCGGACUCGGACUCGGACUCGGACUCGGACUCGGAUUCGGACUCGGACUCGGGCUCGGGCUCGGUCUCGGCCUCGGCCUCGGUCUCGGUCUCGGUCCCGAUCUCGGUCUCGGUCUCGGUCUCGGUCCCGAUCUCGGUCUCGGUCUCGGUCUCGGUCCCGGUCUCGGUCUCGACUUCGGACUCCUUCUCGGACUCCAUCUCGGACUCCAUCUCGGACUCCAUCUCAGACUCCAUUUCGGACUCCAUCUCGGGUCCAUCUCGGGUCCAUCUCGGACUCCAUCUCGGACUCCAUCUCGGGUCCAUCUCGGACUCCAUCUCGGACUCCAUUUCGGGUCCAUCUCGGGUCCACCUCGGACUCCAUCUCGGACUCCAUCUCGGACUCCAUCUCGGGUCCAUCUCGGACUCCACUUCGGACUCCAGCUCGGGUCCAUCUCGGGUCCACCUCGGACUCCAUCUCGGACUCCACUUCGGACUCCAGCUCGGGUCCAUCUCGGGUCCACCUCGGACUCCAUCUCGGACUCCACUUCGGACUCCAGCUUGGGUCCAUCUCGGGUCCACCUCGGACUCCAUCUCGGACUCCACUUUGGACUCCAGCUCGGGUCCAUCUCGGGUCCACCUCGGACUCCAUCUCGGACUCCACUUCGGACUCCAACUCGGGUCCAUCUCGGGUCCACCUCGGACUCCACUUCGGACUCCAUCUCGGACACUCCCACGUAUCAUGUGUUGGUCCUUUUGGGUCCCUUUUUGGAGCCUCGCCUUUUGCUCACUUCGUGCUCGUUCCUCGAGCACUUCGUUGGGAGUUUCACUCCCGCUCUUGACUUUUCAAGUCGGAGCUUUUGGUCCAAACGUGUUACGCUCGUUUGGCUCUCGUUUCGGCCACUACCAUGUGGCGCCCUUCCGGCUCCACUUUGGGGCCUAGGGAUUUUGUGUCUCACAAGGGGCUCCUUGCACAGUGGAAAGGACCGUAUCGGGUGUUGCGGCAAGUUGGACCACAAGUUUAUGAGGUUUGGCAUGACGUCCAGCAGGCCGAUCCUCUAGAGGUUGUGCAUGUGCAACGGUUGAAAGACUUCAUACAAAGGGAUCAUGAGCGGUUAAUACCAUCUACAGAUCCGCCGAUGCCUCCUCCUGAUCUUCCUCCAUAUCCCGGCCUGUCUACAAGAGAACCUUGAUGGUCUUCCAUUAUUCCGAGAGGAGGGGAUGAUGUGAGGGCUAAGUGUACGGCUACGAUGCCAUAUACUAAUAUUAGCAUAGUGGGAUUUUGGUAGCCGUCGGAUUGGUUUCAAUCCGGACCACUUGCUCCUGUAUAUAAGCUAGGGUUUUUGGGCUAAUUGAUAUGCACAUUUCUGUAUUCCCUUUCCAUAUUCCAUGCACUCACAGUAGGAAUUAUAUCAUAGAUUUAGUCUCAAAAUGUUUAACAUUUUAAAUAAUUCUAAAUUCAAGACAAGGAUUGUUUCAAGAACUAUCUUGGUAGUAAUAAUAACAAUAUAAGCUUCAUAUAUAUAAAUAAAGAGCUUGGCUAAAAAGUCAAUAAAUGUAAAAAAAUGCACUUUUAAACAAGAUAACUAAAUGGAUUAUAAUAUUUAUUUUUUGUAAAGAGAGUUUAGUAGUAUAUAUUAUAUAUCAUAUUAUUUUUUAUUUAAAUAUCAUUAAUUUUUCCACAAUUAUUUGCAUUUCUAAAAAUAAACAAGCUGCAAGGAUGGAAUCUUCUGGGAUGACAUAGAUCCCAUCUUCGUGUCCAAUCAUUGAGGAUGUAAUAAAUAAAUCAUGAAGUAAAGGCAUAGCUUGAUAAAAUCUCAAGUAAAUUUUUACUUGACACAAGGUUAGAAUUCAUUCAGCUGUGUCUAGUUUGCAUCAAUGCAAUGCUGGUCCGUUGCAAGGCAUUUCUAAUUGUAACAUGGAGAGGCAUGGAUGGUAUUUUAAUGCUUGAUAGAAAUUGAUUUUUGUCUGGAUUCUACUUGAUUUUUAAUUUUUUUUUAAAGUAUAUGUGGUAGCAAAUAAAUCGUCAACGUGCAGCCAUAGAGUUCAAGCAGAACCAACCAGACAUAGCACUUCCUUCAAUCAUUAUGUUCGUUUACAUUGGGAAGAAUGCGAAUGUUUUUCCUUAAGACCUUGUGCUCCAACUGAAGAAUCAACAAGGACGAUCUGGUAAAAGAAAAAACAAGCCUGUAAUUCAUAUCCUUUCAAAGAAACUACAUCAACCUUUGGGGACGUGAUCGGCUCUAAUUGCGAUCCUCUUCGAGCUUCAAGGUCUCGUCGGUCGCGUAAACCAUGCAAGCCUGGGACAACACAGCCUGGAGUGAAAAUUUUGCGAAAGAAAGUUAAGAAGCAAACCUUGACAUAGUUUGCAUUUGGAAGGCUUGCACUGAUCUCUUCGACAUCGAGAUCUUCGAACGGGUUCUUGACGAGCUGGCUUCCAAACACCGUCUCGUCACAAUCGACCCAUUCGUCCUCGACGUCCGAGAUCACAUCCGGAUCCACUGCCACAGAGAAUUUGAAUGGAUCGAAGCUUUGAAAUAUUUCGAGAUCGACCCUACCAUUCUCUUCGCAGAUUUCCUCCAGAUCUCUCCUCAGUGCGUCCUUGAGACCUUGAUCCAGCGGGCAAUCGAGCCUGUGAAAAGAAAAAAAAAAGCACUGGAGAGAGACAUCGAGCGGCUUCUUACCAUUUCCGCAUCCAGGACUUGGAAUGCUUGCGGCGAUCUUCAUCACCUUGGUCGGAGUCGGAAUCUGCGCGGCGAUCGAUCGAAGAGCUCGCCGGCCUGGCUUUCUUAUGGCGCUGCUCUCCCGCUCCAGCCAUAUUCCAAAAUAUUUGUUCUGCUCUAGGGCAGAAACGUAAUCUCUCCCGCCCAAUUUGUAAAGGUCUUCAAUCGAAGCCGUCCAUUUGAUUUUCACUUGAGAAGCAUCUUGAUAGAUUCUCUUUAAUUUUAAAUUGCGUGGCUAUGGCCGCUGGAUGGAACAAGCUAGACGGUGCCAAGGCGCUCGUCGAUAGCGGCAUAGACGGGGUCCCAGAUUUCUAUGUCAAGCCCCUCGAUCAGAGGCUCUCUCCUCAAGAUCUAGAGCUCCACGCCGGUGAGCAGGAGGACGAAGUCCCGGUGAUCGAUGUCUCCCCGCUGCUGGAUUCCAAGCCUACUUCAUCCGAUCGCAGCAAGGAGGAUGUAAUCGCCGAGCUGCUGGAUGCGAGCGAGAGAUGGGGCUUCUUCCAGGUAAGAAACUGUGCCGCGUAUGGAACCGUCUCAACAGGAACUGGAUCUAGGUUAUCAAUCACGGCAUCGGCAGCGAUCUCACGCGGCGGAUGCUCGCCGUGGCUCACGAAUUCUUCCAGCUGCCGCUCGCGGAGAAGAUGGUCUUCUAUAGUACGGACAUAGACGCCGCCGUGAGGUACGGCACGAGCUUCAAUCCACUCAAGGAUGUGUUUCUAGACUGGCAAGACAAUCUUUUGCAUCGAUUUCUGCCGGAGCGCCGGGAUCAGCCACAUCCAUGGCCGACCAAACCAAGCGCUUACGAGUAAGUCUAAGUGCUAGACUUGGUUCAUCCAAUUCUCUUGCCUGGUUUUCUCUAAGUUUUCAUGGAUCAUCCAGGUUGAUUGCUGGGGAAUUUGUGGAUCAAGCCAAGUUUCUGGCCCGGCAUCUCCUGCGAGCAUUGUCUGAGGGUCUCGGCUUAGGCCCGGACUAUUUGGAGGGGGAGUUUGGUGAGCACAACGUGGCGCUGCGGCUCAAUUAUUAUCCUCCUUGCCCGAGUCCUGAGCUUGCAAUUGGACUGAGUAGUCACUCCGAUGUUGGUGGUCUCACGAUUCUCUUGCAGGACAGUGAUAUCGUCGGACUCCAAGUGAAGGUCCAGGAGAAGUGGAAGACGGUCAGGUCGGUUCCUGGUGCUCUUGUUAUCAACAUUGGCGACCAGCUUCAGGCAAGCUAGCAAAUAACUUGUAGAAUGGUUAAUAUGUCUUUUGGACAGAUUUAUAGCAAUGGAAAGCUCAAGAGCGUCGAGCACAGAGCGAUCGUAAAUGCCGAUAAAGCUCGGGUAUCAGUCGGGCUCUUCUACGAUCCAGCUUCCGACGUUAGAGUAUCUCCGAUUCCCAAGUUUGUAGACACGGAGCAUCCAGCGGCCUACAACCCUUGCGUGUUUAGAGAGUACCUGAAGAACCUCUACUCUAAGAACUUGGUGGGCAAGGAAUUGCUGGAAUCCCAAAGGAAAUAGCCUUGGAAGUGGAUGUUUUCAGGAGUGAGAGUUUGGCAGGUCAAGGUGAUUCUCAGCCUGAAAAGAUGUUUUAAGGUGGCUACUAGUGACCGAACUCCAAUCCAUGUAAUUGUCAUUCUUUUCCUCAUGCUUCAUGAUCUGCUGGAAUGUCAACAAUGUGCUAAUGAGCAUCAAAGACUCUUUCAAGUUCACUAACUUAUAAUUUGAUAUUGAUAAAGGUAAAGGAUGUUAGAAAGCCAUUUAAAAUUCAUUAAAAAAAAAGGUAGUUUAAAAUUGAAAUUAAAAUCUAAGGAAUCCAUAAUAUUUCGGUGUUGUUUUAAUAUUGAUUACAAUGUUUUGAUAUAUUUGGCAAUAGGCAUGAAACCAAACUUGGCCUUCGCAUGGUAUUUAGGUCCUUGGAGAAUCUAGGUCUAGAACACUGAAGUGUUAUUAAAUCAAUUCUGGGGUACUUGAGAGGUAUGUUUUAACUCUUUUUGUAAAAACAAGCUUUCACAAAGCAUUUUUACAUAAUUAUUUAAAUAUAUUUUAGUAAUUUAUUAAAUAUUUUAAUAAAUAAUUAUUUAAUUUUUUUAAAGGAAACCCAGUACUGGAUAUAUCUAGAAUAUGCUUAAAUAUUUUGUAUAUACUCUUAAACUAUAAACUGGAUAUUUUACUAUCUAAGACAGUUCUUAUUCAUUUACAUUAAUCUUUUAUUUAUAAUUUAUAAAAUUUCCUAAACAUUUUCUAGUAUAUUCUAGUUUAUAUAAAAUAUAAACAUGUUUCUAAUCAUAAAAGUUUAAUUGAUCAAUUGGUUUAAAUAAUAAACACUACUAUUAAGCAAACCAAUUGUUACUGCAUGCAAUAACAAGUUCUUGAAAAUAAAAUAUAUCUUACAUUAUCUUCUUUAAGCCUUUUUCACUUUUUUUAAAUUUAUUAUUCUCAUUUUACCACUAAUUUUUUAUAUAAAAUAUUCAUAUAUUAAAUAUAAUUAUUAUCAUUAUUCAUGUAUGGAAAGAAGGUAUACUUUAUUUUACUUAUACAUGACAAAGAAAGCAAUAUAUUUUCUAAUAUUUAUAGUUACUAAAGAUUACACCUAAUAAUUGUUUUUCUAAAUAUAUUGAGUAAAAAACUUUUUAAUUUUAUAUAUAUAUAUAUAUAUAUAUAUAUAUAUAUAUAUAUAUAUAUAUAUAUAUAUAUAUAUAUAUGUAAAUAACUCUUUCGUUGUUCUUGUGGAUAAACUUUAUUGAAUAAUAAAGUAUUCAAAAGAAAAGGGUUAUUUUAAUAAACAUCUUAAGAGAGAGAUUAGAGAAAAAGUACCGAUCAGAUCAGAUGUUGCAGGAAGCUACUUCAGGUGUAAUGGAAGCAUGGGGAGAGCUUUUAGUAGAGCACAGAGAUGACCUCGUCACCUUUUUGAUAACGAACCCUUUCUUUAUAAAAAUAUGCAUUACAUGCUUUUCCAUACCUUUAUAUCUACCAAGAAGUUGCUUUCAGUAAGAGCUUUGAACAAUUUUUGUAUGUGUCAAAAGGCGGGAGUCAAUAUUGAGAGAGAGAGAGAGAGAAAGGCAUUCCUUCCGGACUCGGGAAAGAUGUCCAUCUCGAGGGAUGUCAUAUGACUUUUUUGGUUGGGGGGUCCAACUUUUUGCAAAGGAAACGAGCAAUGCUCUGCCCAAAUCCUCGCUCCGCCUGCUGCUCUCUCGUGAAAUCCAUGCAACAAAAGCAAAAGAGAUUCUGUCCAAACAUGGUGGUUGAUGCCUCGCCGCAGGAGAACUUCAAUUCCAGCAGCAAACAAGAAAAAAUUUACAGCCACUUUUCUUUCUUUUCCCAGUUUUCCUUGUUUGAUUUCGUUCUCCUCCCUUAGAGCAUAGCAAUCCAGCUCCUUUUCUCUCCUCUAGCAUAGCAAUGCUCGUGUUCCUGGCGAUGGCUCUUCUCCUGGUUGCGAGCGUGGAUUCGUGGAGGAACGCCUCCAUUCCUUCGCAGUGGCAGGGGAUGACGCGGAGGAGCAAGAUCCACCCGGCGGAGCAGCAGGGCGGCGACGAUUUCAUCCCGAGAGCAAUCGGCGGCGAUGGGCUGGUCAAGUUCUUGGUGGUCGACCAAAGCUCCCUCCUAUCGUCGCAGACGACGGGAGUUUUCAGGUCCAUCCAAGCAGCAAUCGAUGCCGUCCCGGUUGGGAACCAGCAUUGGGUGAUCAUCCAAGUUGGAGCUGGAGUUUACCAGUAAGUAUCAUAGGAGCUUGUCCAAGAAAAACAGAGAAAAAAAAUCUUUGUUUUAUAGGGAGAAGAUCACGAUUCCAUACAUGAAGCCUUACAUUCUUCUCCAAGGUGCCGGGAGAGAUUUCACCACCAUCUCCUGGAGCGACACGGCCAGCACUUUCGGGACUGCCAACAGCGCUACUUUCAGCGCCUUUGCUCCGAAUUUCAUCGCCAAGUACAUCAGCUUCAGAGUAAGCUUUUCCUCGCUUUUCUCAAUCUCGCUUUCUUCGAUCGAUCGAAAGGAGAGCCUCAUGUUUCUUCCAUAGAAUUCAUUCUCCUCUUUUGGAAAAGAGGCCUGACUGUUCGCUCGCAGAACAAUGCACCGCGGCCGCCACCGGGAGCUUUCAAUCGCCAAGCGGUGGCUGUUUUGGUCGCCGGCGACAUGGCUGCCUUCUACUCGUGCGGCUUCUAUGGCGCCCAGGACACGCUCUUCGAUUACGAGGGACGUCACUACUUCCGGGACUGCUACAUCGAAGGCUCCAUUGACUUUAUCUUCGGCCAUGCGAAGUCCGUCUUCAAGGUAGAAUAGAACAAUUCUUGCGAGAAACUGGAGAACUGUUAGUCGCCUUUCUCUCUUUUUCUUUGUCUACCUGAUCUUUUUCUUUUCUCAUGUACAGGCCUGUGAGCUCCACGCCAUCGCCGACAGCUUUGGCUCAGUCACCGCUCAGAACAGGGGAGACCCUCGCGAGAACUCUGGCUUCAUAUUUAUUGCCUGCACAGUGACAGGAAGUGGCACCAUUUUCUUAGGACGUGCUUGGGGAGCUUACUCUCGAGUCGUCUAUCUCUUCACCUACAUGGACAGCAACGUUGUCUCCGAGGGGUGGAAUGAUUGGGGCGUCGCGAGCAGGCAGGAGUAAGUUCUCGCGAGAUUUUCUAUCUUUUUCUCACUCUUGUCACCUACAUCAACGAACAGGACAGUUUAUUAUGGUCAGUACAAGUGUUUCGGACCGGGAGCUAACGAACUAGGCCGUGUUCGGUGGUCUCACGAGCUCACGGACGAGGAAGCCAGGCCUUUCCUGCAAGUAAACUUCAUUGACGGCGUACAAUGGUUACGUGAACUAUAGCAAACAACGAGGAAGAAAACCUGGCUCGUCUGUACAAAAUUUGAUUCCCAAUUCUUUUGUGCGACACCUUCAGAAAAGGAAAAGGAAGAAACUGUCAAGAACAAUAAAAAUCUCUAGCCAGAUCCGUAAAUACUUGGGAAGGAAACCAAAUUUCGCGGUUUACCGGUGAUUUGUUGGUGCUAACUUUGUAACUCGAGAAUCACGAAAUAAAAUCCCCGCAUUCGUGUAAAACGCUUGGACGCGAGGUCGCUUAUACCAAAGCCCAUUGCAGUGCAUCGGGGAGAAAACGGCUGUGAGAAGGACAAAGCCCAAAAGCAAAAGAACAAAAUGCCAAUGGAGCAAAGCAAAGCUAUCAAACGUUUAAAGCACCUUCAUGUGUUCUUGUUCUUCGAUCCAGAUCCCCGAUGAAAAUCUUCGUGUUGAUCCUCUUCGCCACCUUGCUCUCGCUGCGCCAAUCCCAAGAGUUAGAAGGCGGUCACAAAGAACACAAAGAGCUCAUCACCUUUACCCCCGGGCAUUUUAAAAUUUUAUCUUUCCCGCCAUUCGCAUCGCGUGCCACUGCCCCGGCGGCUGCAAAUCCGCGCCCCCAGCGCCAAGAUCACGAGCUGCAAGGAAAAGAGGAGGAGCUCGCCAUCGAGAUCCUCCACCGGAGCUCCCGGCGCGAUGGCGAUCCCCAUUAUCAGGAUCCUCUCCACGACAUCCACAGCGCGAUGGAGCGGGACGAGGCGCGCCUCCGCUGGAUCCACCACCGCAUCCAGUCGAGCGAUCGUCGCCACCGCCGCGGACGAUCGCUCCUCCAGACCGCCCAGAUUUCCUCGGGAUUGAGCCUGGGCAGCGGCGAAUACUUCGCGAGGAUGGGAAUUGGAAACCCGCAGAGAUCCUACUACCUGGAGCUCGACACCGGCAGCGAUGUCACCUGGAUCCAGUGCGCGCCCUGCUCUUCCUGCUACUCUCAGGUCGAUCCAAUCUACGAUCCCUCCAAUUCGUCGAGCUACCGCCGCGUCUACUGCGGCUCGGCGCUGUGCCAGGCGCUGGAUUACAGCGCCUGCCAAGGCAUGGGAUGUAGCUACCGCGUCGUCUAUGGCGAUAGCUCCGCUAGCAGCGGCGAUCUUGGCAUAGAAUCCUUCUACCUGGGGCCGAAUUCCAGCACCGCGAUGCGAAAUAUCGCGUUUGGAUGCGGCCAUAGCAACUCGGGCCUCUUCCGCGGCGAGGCGGGGCUCCUAGGGAUGGGCGGCGGCACGCUCUCCUUCUUCUCCCAGAUCGCGGCCUCCAUCGGCCCCGCAUUCUCCUACUGCCUGGUGGAUCGCUACAGCCAGCUCCAAUCGCGCUCGUCGCCGCUCAUCUUCGGGCGCACCGCCAUACCCUUCGCCGCCAGAUUCACGCCGCUGCUCAAGAACCCUAGAAUCAAUACGUUCUACUACGCCGUCCUCACUGGGAUCAGCGUCGGCGGUACCCCGCUGCCCAUACCGCCCGCGCAGUUUGCGCUCACGGGCAACGGCACCGGCGGCGCCAUCCUCGACUCGGGCACCUCCGUGACGCGCGUCGUGCCGCCGGCCUACGCGGUGCUGCGCGACGCGUACCGUGCGGCGUCGCGGAACCUACCGCCGGCGCCGGGGGUCUACCUGCUCGACACGUGUUUCAAUUUCCAGGGGCUGCCGACGGUCCAGAUCCCAUCGCUGGUGCUCCACUUCGACAAUGGCGUGGACAUGGUGCUGCCCGGCGGGAAUAUUCUCAUCCCGGUGGAUCGCUCGGGGACGUUUUGCCUGGCUUUCGCGCCGUCUUCCAUGCCCAUCUCGGUCAUUGGCAACGUCCAGCAGCAAACCUUUCGAAUUGGGUUUGAUUUGCAAAGAUCUCUCAUCGCCAUAGCUCCAAGAGAGUGCUAAAGUUGAUUUGCAAAGAUCUCUCAUCGCCAUAGCUCAAGAGAGUGCUGAAGUAUACUUCUCUCAACUAUGAGAUUCAAAACUCCCAAGUGAUAAAAACUAGAUUCUUCAAUAGCUUUUGAUCUGAUCGAGCUCUCGAAAUUCCGAGGCUUGCUUUGCUUGCUCGCUUAGCUUCCAAGGAAGCUUUUUAAUCUGUGCUUCACAAACAAUAAAACUUUGAGACGAAAAGAAUGGCUCUAUAGUACACUAUAAUCUCGCUCGCCUUUUCUUUCGUAUCUCGCCUGUAUUGCUUCUUUUGGAGUGUAAAUCCUGUCCUUACUGUGGCUCUCUCUCGAGAGAGCUCGAUCACGUCGAAGGAAGCCAUUGCGUGCCAUCCACAAAGCUGAGCGAAAGAAAUGGAGUUACCUCCAUGUCCGAGAGCUCGCGAGCCCACGGCACUCUCAGCGAAGAAGUGGCUCCGGGACCAUAGCAUUUGUAUUGUCCAAACGAGACAGUUCUACAGAAAAGGAAGUUAAGAUUUUACAAAGAAGAAAAGAAAGAUCCUCUUUUUACCUGUCUCUGGAUGCGUCGUGAUCCCAAUCGUCCCAGCCACGUACAUCGAUUAUAUUGUCGAAGUAACUGUUCGAGUAGACAAUGCGGGAGUACGGUCCCAUUGCUCGUCCGAGAUACAAAAUCCCGGUUCCGGUAACUUUGCAGUUGACGAACGAGAAUCCUGUGUUUUCCGUUUGGCUCUGCCGAUCUUGUGCUGCUACGGAGCCGUAGGAAUCCGCUAUGGAGUGAAGUUCGCAUUGCUGCAGCACUCCCGGCAUUAAAAAACACGGAAAGGAAGGCGGAAAGUUUUGAUGCUCACCUCGUAGAGCGAGCGGCCAUUGCCAAAGAUGAAAUCGAUGGAGCCUUGGAUGAAGCAACCUUUGAAGUAGUGGCGUCCGACAUCGUCGCAGAGCGUGUCCUGCGCGCCGUAAAAGCCACAGUUGUAGAACGCAGCCAUGUCGCCAGAGAUCCGGAAAGCCGCUGCUUGACGUCCAUUGACACCGGGUGGUGGUGGAGGUGCAGUGUUCUAUCACAAGAACAAAAAAAAAAAAAAAAAAAAACAAACCAUUUUUGUGUGAGCCAAGAGCUUAUAAAUCGAUUGAAAGAUAGAAACCACGCAAAGGUCACGCACACGCAAACAUGCACACACAAUUCACGCACAAAGAAAAGGAGACAAAAAAGAGUGGAAGUACCUGAAAACUGAUGUCUCUGGCUAUGAAAUUCGCCCCUACGAUCGUCACUGACGCGGUUCUAUAGGCCGUAAGCGGCUGUCCAUCGGGGCCGAGGUCGCUGGCGGUGGAAUUCCAGACGAUGAGGCUACGAUCAAUCCCAGCGCCCUGGAAAGUUAAGAACGGCUUCGUAGCUGGAACCACCACUUUCUCCCUGGAACCGAAAAAACAAACCCACAGACAAUGAGACGCCUGGAAGAAGCAAAGGGGAAGAAACAAAGGCAAGAAAAUGAUAAGAAAGAAUGUCUCAUCAGAUCAUCACGAGAAGAGCGCCAUGGCUGGAAGAGAGAAAGAAAAGAAAAUUCUCUUCUCUACUGGCCAUACUGACCGCCCUAUCUGACUGACGGUCACGGAGAUGCGGAGAUUCGCGGGAAUAAACCGGCAGCGCGAAGAUGCCGCCCAAGAUUCGCCGUAUGAAGAUCCUUGCGACGAUGAUGAUCGAUCGUUUUGCCCGCAAUUGGAGCUGGGGGAAGCGGCCGAUCGCGGUGCAUUACGCGUGACAUCGACGCAAGGGAUCGUUGGCGCUUGGAUUUUGCGGCGGGGUGUUCUUUGCAUCGAUGCCAAAAUUUCUCCCCUGUUCAUGGAAAUAUUCUACGCUGCCGUGCGAAAUCUGGGACCCGUGAGCGCCAAGAAUCGGCAAGAAUGGAUCGCUGGCGGGAAUUAUCAGGCAAGAUUGUAACUGGGAUCGCGAGAAUUCGUUGAGAUUGAUCGAUCGAGGCAAGAAGAGUAAUUUCCAAGAACAGAGAAAUCGAGGAGGAAGGAAGAGGAAGAAAGAGAGGCGAGAGCCAGGAAGAGAAUGCUGAUCCUUACCAGUAGAUUCCCGGACCAAUUCGUAUCGUCACCCUCUGAUCAUUCCCGUCCGGGAUCGCGUUCACUGCGUCCUGGACAGUCACGAAAUCGCCAUUCCCGCUCUGAUCCACGACGAGAAUCCGCGCGGCCAGAUGCCCCUCGGUGCUGAAGGAUUGGAGGAGAUUUCUCGUCGCCGCCGCGCCGCGAGGAUGCGAGAGGAUUAAGGUCGACAAGACGAGAAUGGAGGCGCGUCGCGAGCCGCGAGAGAGGAGGAACAAGGCGGCGAGGAAGGAGGAGGAAUCCCUGGCAGCCAUGGCCGGAGCUAUGGGCCGGAGCUAUCGGCUAGGUGGGAAAGAAUUUUGGGAGAGGAGGGAAAGAAAGAAUGGAAAAAUGCCGCGCUUGUUAUAGCCGGUUAGGUUUAAACCCAUUGUUUAUAGGCCUAAAAGGUUGACAGAAAACGUACGAGUUUGUAUUUUUCCUAUGAAUUUUUUUCUUCCACUAAUACGCCAACUUUGACUCUAAUUAUUUUCAAAUCAUACCUGUUUGUAUCGAAGAGAAAGAAAAGUUUCUCUUAUCUGAUAUGGAGAAACCAUGUCUUUCUAUCGGAAUUGUGUGGAUUGAGAACGACCCAAAGGCAAAGCUAGAAAAGCUUCACCAGGACUUUCCUUAAGUACGAUGAUUCAAAGAUUCUCGUCUCGGGCUUCUAGUGAGUGUUUGUUCGAACUUAAAAGGCGGUGGAAAGCAAAAAAGGAGAGAGCGAGAGGGGAAUAUACGGCGGCACGAAAACAACGCUACUACACAUUGAAAACUCCCAAAAAAAUUCACCGAAGAAAGAGGGAGGGAAAAGAGCGAUGUAAGUAAUGUGGAUUGCUACGCCACCUCCCCUUGAAGCUCAAAACGUGAGAGGAUUUUAAUAGAGCUCGGCGUCACGGGAGGGCCAUGCGACCAAAAGCUCUUUCCUUUUUUAUUUUCCACCCAUCUUGACAAGUUGAUCGGGCGAGAGGGACUGCCUGUGUUUGCUGCAAACGAAAGAGAGCGUUGCUUGAUGGAUCUUUCCGAAAGUUUUUCUCUCUCUUUUUUUUUGCUCUCUCUUUCUCGUCUUGCUUACCUGAUGAAAUGGAGGCAUAGAAAAUGGCUGGACACGCGAAAUUAUUGUACCUGAUUGCUUGCAAAGAUCAGGCGUUUAAUGCUCGGAAAAAGAAAAGAAUACCUCAAGAAAAGGAGCCUUCGCUAUCAACACAGAUUGUGCUGUGCUCCCUUGGCAGCAGCAACUGGUUGAGUGCGUUCCCUCACAAAUGCCAUGCAGAAGAAGCUGAAAACAAUAACUAUAAUGAACAGAGACAUCAGAAUCAAAUAUGUAGCAGCAAGCAAAACCAAAAAAAAAAAAAAAAAAAAAAAAACGAAAAAAAAAAGAUAAACAAACUCAAAGAACGAAGUAAAAAAAGGAAGGAAAGAAGAACGAACCACGAACCGCUCGUCAAAGCUUGGUUGUUGGAUCCAUAAAUGUUCACUGCUUUCACGGAAUGUCGUCCAUGGACCAUUAACUCUGAGUGGUUGCACCGCGUAACUCGCUUACUGUCCACCGGUCUAUGUACUUUGUAGUCGCUCUUCUUUGGAUCCCACAGGCACCGCUGCCGAAGAAGGCUUCGCCCGGACGAAAUAAAUGCCCGCCCGUCUGGAGAAGACGACGUCUCUCACAAAGUUUCACUGGAAUUUCUAUUCCAUCGACAUCGAAGCAAAUCUCCGCCGUGCUGACGGAUUUGUAUCUCUCACUGCUGACUGCAACCAAGAUAAGCUUCUAGCACGAGAUUUAAAACUUCGCUUGCUGGCAAACUUUCAAGGUACCUGGAUCAACCAAGUUGCAAGUAAUCUGAUUUUCCAGCUCGAAAAAUGCACGGAGCCCUGUGGAUUGGAAUCAGAUAUGAAUAGGAUACUUACGAGAGUUCGCUGUGGAUGCAGAAAGAGCAAAUCAGCUGAACAGAUUGCAAGAUACUACAGGCCCAGGCAUUAGAAAAGUAAGAAAAUGUCGCAAACUAUGACAAGCAAUCGUGCGCAAAGCAGCAAAUGCUUUUCCUUCAACUAUAAAUUAUAUACACGUCCAGCUCUGUCUACAAAGACAACUGAAGUGAGACUUUGCUACGAGAUUAAAAUUCAAAAUACCGUACCUCUCUAAGUUGGGAGCCACUGAGAGCCAUCAAUGAAGCUUGGAUCUAGAAAAGGUUGUGCCUGUCCCGGUGUGAGCUCGUGAGACCACGCUACACGUCCUGCAUGAUUGGCUCCUGGUCCCGAGCACUUGUACUGCCCAAAAAACACAGUGCUGCGGGGCAAGCAAUUUAUCAGAAUCGAGAAAACUGGAGAGGAACAACUUACUGCUCUUUAUUGGGGUCUCCCCAGUUGUCCCAACCCUCCGGGACAACUAUGUUAUCCAUGUACGUAAAUGCAUAAACAACCCGAGAGAAGUCACCCCAAGCUCGUCCUAAAAAGAUUGUUCCAGAACCGGUGACCCUGCAGUUCACAAAAGAAAAACCAGUUCGUUCGCUUUGGUUGGUUCGCUUUUGGGCUGCUAAUGCACCAAUUCCACCACAAUUCUCAGCAGCAGCGUGUAGAUGAGAUUUCUGAAAAAAGCGGGUUGAGAAAAUUGCUCGAGAACAACAGUAACACUUACGUAGUAAUAUGAAUGGCCAUCUCCGAAUAUGAAAUCUAUAGAUCCCUCAAUGUAGCACUCUCUGAAGUAGUGACGGCCACUGUGAUCGUAUAGAGUGUCUUGGGAUCCCAAGAAAUGACAACCAUAAAAAGCAGCUGUGUCACCAGAAAUUCUAAGGGCAACAGCUUGUUUCCCUGGUGCUCCAGGAAAAAAUACAGCAGAAUUCUGCAAAAUCCGCAUGAAAGAUCGAACCAUGAACACGACGAUUACCUUAAACGUAAUGUUCUUAGCAAUGAAAAACGACGCGUAAAUUCCAACUGUUGCACUCUCAAAGGUUCCCAACGGCUGUCCGCCAGGACCAGGACUGCUUGCUGUAUCAUUCCAGUCGAUGAUGGUAAGCCACGCUCCAGAGCCCUGGAGUGUAAUGUAAGGCUUCGUUAUUGGAACCGUAACUUUUUCUCUGGAUACAAAUGAAAUUGAGAAUCGAAAGCAACAAAUGAAAGAAAUAUCACCUGUAGUAGCCGGGAUUGAUGUGGAUGACAAUGCGCUCGCCAUUGUAGUCAGGUAUAGAGUUCAAAGCCGCUUGAACCGUCGUGUAGUCACCCUCCCCAAUUGUCUUGCUCACCACAAUCGUCCUCGCAACUUUGAUCCUGUUCCUAGCUGUCUUUCCGAACAUGGAAUGCUUGAGGGAACCAAUCCAGUUCACCCAGCUGACAAAAUCCUUUUCCAUUCUCUGCAAUGCAGGGCUCGAAUCAGUCGCAAGGACUUGAGCUUCACUAGGAACGAGAAACGAGCCAAGCAACAGGACAACUAAAACAUUAAACUUUGCAGACAUUGUUCUCUCACUCGUUCACAGGCAAAAGAAGCACGAGGUGGCAAAACUAGACGACAUAUCUCCGAUGUAACUAGCAAACUGGAGAUAUAAGAGGACAUGACUGCAAGCACCAGAACACUUGAAGAUGAUCUAGCAACUUAACAACGCAAGACGUGAAAGAGACAGACAAGCAUGCUAAUCUGGUCUCCACUACUAGGAAGCUCGAUUAAACAAUACAAGCAAAUCAUAGAGGAACUCACGAGCGUGGCCUGAUGAUGCACUGAAAAUCACCGUACAUAGCUUCUUCUGAUGAUUCUUCCUGCAUUCAUCCAUAGCUUUCGUCACAAACAACCAAAAAAGAGAAUUGCCAAAACCUUCGGCAUCUUCUGUAAAGCUCCAGCCCUCUUUCUUUGCCUGACAGUGUCGGCACCACUCCUCGCGUCACGAUCCAGAAGCACUGCAACAAAACAAACGAUCUGUGACCGAAGAAAAAGCAAGAAAUUCCCCUAGAUCAAACCUGCGGCAAUCGAUCGCUCCUGACAACCAUUCACUGCGCAGCGCACAUCGCCGCAUUUCCCUUUCAAUCGAACAAGCACUGGCGCCUUCGAUCGCUCCUCGUGCAUUGCUCCUCCCACUAGCCCUAGCCUAUCCUAGAGGACAAGAUAUCAUCCGAGAGAGAGAGGGAGAUUAUAUGAAGAUCGUCAUUAUAUAUGACCGGCUCUAUGUUUUUCAGCCGGUUAUUCCCUGUCUGUACAAGCGAAAAGAAUUCUCAUCCUAGAAACCAUGGAAACGAAAGAAAGAGAGAAAGAAAAAAUUUCUCCUGACCACUAUGAACACCGUAGUAGCUCCUCGCUCGUCUUAUUUCCACCACCACCACCAAUCGAUCCCUUUCAUCAGCUCGAUUCGAUCGCCCUGUUCUUCCUGCUACCACUCAAGCCGCUCGUCAAACCAUAGUAGCUCUCGUACCACUUGACGAACUUCUUGAGCCCCGUGUAGAGAUCCGUGCUGGGAUUGUAGCGCAGCUCGUUCCUCGCCAGAGUCACAUUCGCGUGAGUGAAUGGAACGUCCCCGUUUCUCGGCAUCUUGACGAAGUUCUUCUUCGCUUUCACCUUGAGAUGCUUCUCCAGGAUGCUAACCAGCUCGGGGACCGUCACCGGGGACGUGUUGCCCAAGUUGUAGACUCGGAGCUGAGCCGGGCCUCGUUUCUUCCCGCCUGUUCCAGUGCUGAGAAGCGCCGUGUCCAGAGCACCCAAGCACCCCUUGACAAUGUCGUCGAUGUACGUGAAGUCGCGGGCGAGGUCGGUUUGAUCCGGUCCUUGGUAGAUGUUGAUCGGCUUUCCCUGUAAGAUGUCCUUGGUGAAGGAGAAGUAAGCCAUGUCCGGGCGUCCGUAAGGUCCAUAGACCGUGAAGAACCUCAAGCCGGUGAUGGAGAGCCCGUAUAUGUGGUUGUAGCUGUGAGCGAUGGCCUCGCCAGCUUUCUUGGUCGCGGCGUACAAGCUCGCCGGCUGGUCGGUCCUGUCCAUCUCGGAGAACGGAACCUUGGAGUUGAGCCCAUAGACGGAGCUCGACGAGGCCCAGACGAUCGAAGGCUGCGGAUUGGCCGACUUGCAAGCUUCAAACAGCGUCACCAGUCCAGCGAUGUUGGAGUUGACAUACGAGGCCGGGUUUUGCAUGGCGUAUCUGACACCCGCCUGCGCCGCCAGGUGCAUGACGUGAGUGAACGGAACCAUGCUGAAGAGCUUGGCGAGGAGCUCCGAGUUGUUCACGUCCCCGUCGACGAUGAAGACCGACUGCUUCUCCAGAAGCUCCUGCCUUGCUCGCUUGAGUGAAGGGUCGUAGUAGCUGUUGAAGUUGUCCAGUCCGACCACACCGUCACCCCGUUUCUUGAGAGCCAGCGAUACGUGAGUGCCGACGAAGCCAGCAGCGCCUGUGACUAAAACUACCAUCCCGUUUUCUCUCUUGGUCCGAGCAGAGUGUCUGACUUGCUUCUCCCAUUUCGAUCCCCCCCAAGUCAAGGCCCUGUUCCCGAAGUGCCUGGAUUCCAAUCCUGUUUGAACUGCCGGUGGAGCCGAUAUGUGGAAGAACGCGUAGAACAUAAGCGCUACCGAAACAAACAUCCAGAAGAAAUACCUCCCCGACCCGGAAGAAUGCCAUCUGUUGGAAACUCGUCCAAAGUAGUUGUUUCUCUCCAUCUUCACCUUGCCUGGCGUCGAGGGAAAAACAUCUUGUACCGCUGACGGUGGCAUCUCGGAGUCUCUUUGAAAAGAAUUCUUCCGCGUCUCGUCAGUGAGAACAGCGCGGCAGCUCGAUUGUUUCGCAAGCUGCGUUGGAACGAGUAACACAUGGUUAGACAAAUACGAGAAAACGAAUUCAAUAGACAGAGCCUACAUUUGAGGAGAAGUCCGCGACAAGCAAAGUUUAGACAAUUCUAGGAUGCUCGCAGCAUUCAUCGCCCAAGAUGCCGGAGGAGCUUACAAUCCACUCUAUGCAAAGCUAAAAAAAGAAGAGCAAAUAGGAAAGGAAGCCCUCAACCCUUUAAUUCCCCGAAAUAAUCUUCCAGCCAUACUCACGAAGCACACCAGCAUUUCCUUCCGGCUGAGAGGAAUCCAGCGCUCCCGAAGAACAUCUGCUUCCUCCAGCCGGAAUCAAGCCCGAAAUCCACGACUCCACACAAGAAUCCGCAAGAUAGGCAGGAAGAGAGAUAGAAUCACUGACCCUGAGACGGCAAAUCCGGGCGCUGCGCCGAGCGAGUCCGCAUUGCCGCGCGCGCGGUCGAGAAUUUUGGCGCAAGCAGUAUUUCUUGAAGCCGCACACGUGAAUCUCCGGUGGCGAUGGCGGCGUGCAAUGCUACCCCUUUAUGCCGUAGAAUAUUCGCCCUUUCUCGCGGCCGUCGAUAUGUUAGAGAUCGAACGGCCUCCAGCGCACACGCCAGCUGGCGUGAAUUUAGCCGUCGGUAGUAAACACCGUUGAUAAGGACGGUUGGAUAAAGCAGACCGUUAUCACAGUGAUCAACAAACAGAGCGAGCGACCUUUUGAUUUCGUUUCUGUGAAUGGAUAUGGCCUAUCAAAUGCAUCCAACAAGACGACAUUUUCUUGGUAGCAUCGAUUUUCUGGAGAUUGUCACUGAAGUGUACUGCCAGAUCUUCCUUUUACAUUACAUUUUAUUCAAAGUUAAGCUUUUUUAUGAUAUUUUACCUCUAUACUGUAAUAAUAUUAAUGUCUAAAUGUGGUCAACGAGCUGCUGAUUUGGGCUAAAAUUGAAUACUUAGAAUUGUAAUUAAUCUUAAAGUUGCCAAAAUAGAUGUAAUAAAAUGUAAUAUAAUUUAAUAAAUAAUUUAAGAAUCUUCAAGGUAAAUAGAUAUUCUCUAUAUUAUAGUGCAUUAUACACAUAACUCACACCAAACUUGGGACAUUUUUGGUGAAAGUUUCUGAUUGAUAUUUUAUAAAUUAAAAUUUAUAUAUUUUGAAGCUUCUGUCAAUUUUAAGGUUUUAAUUCUUUCUAAGGUGUGUAGACAAUAAAAAAAUCAUUUUUAAAUAGCCUUACUAAUAUAAGAAUGGAGUCUGCACUUAUUCUUCAAUCAAAAUGCUAGUACCAACAAAAUAUUUAUGCCAUAGUGGCCAUUUCUUUCAUUUACUAAGGUAAAUUUGAAUUUAUAAUAAAGCUAAAAAUAAAAAAUUAUAUAUAUAUAUAUAUAUAUAUAUAUAUAUAUUAUGAAUAUAGAAAUGGAAUACACAAUUACCUCAAAACCAUAACUUAUAUAAAAGAGUAAAUAGUCCAUAUUGAUGAAACUAAUCUAAUAGCUGUCAAAUCCCACUACACUAAUAUUAGUAUUUAGUAUCAUAGUCAUAUAGUUAAACUGUAUAUAAUCCCUUAGAGGGUUACCAUGUUUUACAAAAAUGAAAAACAUAUAAUCCCCUAAUGAUUUCACCAUAUGUAAUACCAUAUAUAACACAUUUUAUCUCUUUCCCCUUAAACCAAUUUGAAAAAAAGUAAUUAUUUGAUAAAAGAGCCUUUAGUGGCUAUUUUAUCCCUAUUUAUCCCUUAAUAUUCCAAAGAAUAAUAAUAACAAUAUAUUUAAAUUUAAUCAUAUGAUUACAUGUGUUACAAGUAAACUCCACUCAAAUCUAUGGAAAAAUACACAUCAAAUACUAAUUUUAGGACCUAGCAUCGGUAGCUCAUAGAAAUCACAAAGGUAAAUUCAAUUUAGUUGGCAAUAUCGGACCAUGACUGUAUAAAAGUUUACAUGGUGAAGCAUCAAUAGAACUCUAUAACUUAGUAAUAUAUGCAUACUAAAGAGAUGACAUCCCAAUUCAAAUACUGAAAAUUAAUAUACUUAGCAAUCAUUCCUUUGAAGGUCCAAAUGAACCAUUUCAUCAAACCAUCUAUUUAUGGAUGAUAAACACUCAUAAAUCCCUAAUUAAAACAUUAAAAUAUGAAGUACCUCAACUAUAAAUAUAGGACUAUUAUCUAAGAGAAUUCACUUUAGAUUAAAUUGUUAGAAUACCAUCUGAUUGAGGAGGAAAUAUCUAAUAGUAGUCACAAAUGCACUAGCAAGAGUAUUAACUUCCAUCGAGCAAGUCAAAAAAGCAAUAAUAAUCUAGCAAUCAACUAUGAAAAAGACCCAUUAAAUCAAAUGCCAUUAACUCAAAUUGAAAGGAAAUUAUAAUUAAUUUCAAUUGUCUUUUUAGAACACAAGAGGGAGUAUUAUAAAUUUGGCAUCAAAUACAACUAUGCAUAUACAAAACAAUAUUGCAUUACAUUUUUGGCCAAUAGAAAGAUCUAAGCAACUACUUAGCCAUAUAACGAUGUCUAGGGUCAUGGUAAGUAAAGAGAAAGUAUAAAAUAAAAAUUGAAGGCACCACUAGUUAUAAAUGAUCAUCAAAAUCAAUCCUCACAAAAUAAAGAAGAUUAUUCUUAAAGUGAUAUUGAAAAUAUAAAUGCCAAAACAGGAAGUUAUUAGCAAGUGAUGCAAGAUUUUUAAACCCAUUAUAAAGCAUACAGACAUACGACUUAACUUUUUGAGCUUCACAAACUUUGUCAAGCUUUUUCCAUACCUUGUGGACAUUAAAUAUCAAGGACAACAACCACCAAUAGUAUAAAAUCCUUGUCCAUUGAUACUAGAAUAGGAAUAAAAGAAAAAAAUGAAAAAGGAAAAGAAGUUCAAAAAAGGGUGUUAACAUUAACUAUAAAACUCCUUAGGCCAUUGAAAUUAUAUAUUUAAAAUUUUAGAGCUUACCAAACAAUACAACCAACUAAGUUCUUUCACUUUAAUAAUGAAGUAAUUAUAAUAUGAUCACCAUUUAGUAAUAUCCAAGUGCUAUACAAAUAUAUAUAUAAAGCUUCUCAAAACCCCAAAUUAUUGCUAAACAUUUCUCUAUUGUGUUUGCAAUGUAUAGUUGAUAUAUAUAAUGGGAAAAUGUUAAUUAGCCAUACUUAUGCUCUCUUGCAUCAACACACCCUUAAGACCGAUAUUAAAAGCAUCCAUAUAUAAAAUGAAAAGUUGAGCGUAGUUAGAAUACAUUAAAACUAGAGGAGUCUAUAAGUGAGUAAAAUUUUCAUUUUAUUUUAAUCACUUAACCACACCUAGCUUUGUACUUUCACAAAAUGAGAGAUAGAGCUAGCAGAGAUUGCAUUACUAAUCCUCGUCUUCCAUGAUACAGGUACUCCCUGGACACCCAAACCAUAGGAGGUGACAUAGGAAAUGCUUGGAGAAAUCGUUUUAGUCGUGGUCAGUACCGGGUUACCGGGCGGAUGAUCCUAUGCCUCGAACGAAUGUACCGAAAAUGGCCUAGUCGAUCUGCUUAACCAAAAGUACCUGUGAGGGAUAGCCGUGCCAAGGUGUGAUACCUGGCUGUCAAUACAAAACACCACACAAUCCACUCCUACUUUCCCGCUGAAUCGGAUAUGGACUUAUGUGUGGCUUUUCAGGAUUUUUGGCUACCCGAGAUGACAGUGUACGUGAACACUGAUGAUUUUGUGGCUCCCGUCCCAGCUGUGCAGUAGUUUUUACUACUCUUAGCCGCCAAGGAAACAGAGCACUUACAAGAGAUCUUUGUAUAUGAGAAGAAGAUCGUGAAUAAGCUGCUCAUGGUGCCAAAAUCAGAGGUGGUUGGCAAGAACAAGUGUCAGCUCUGCCUCUUCCAGUAGGUUGAAACCAAAGAAUGGUGGUGCCUGAUCUGGACACUCCUUACCGAUCGGGUGAAUGAUAACCAAGCUUGACUACGACAGUGGAUGGCAGAUAUGGAAAAAGAACUUGUUAAUUUCUCCUCUGCCGAACCAAGGAUUACUUGGAAAAUGCUCCAAUGGUCCCAAGAGUACAAUUGGGUCACAGGGUAUAAAGGCUCAUACAGGAAAGGCAUUGAUAUGGGGAAACCACAGAUUGACCUUAGUGAUGGUUUUGAGUUCCUAAGACAAAAUGCAUAUUCACUCAUGACUGGACUCAUCCCGUCGCAGCUAGACACCUUGGAAGGAGAAAACAUGGACCGUAUUGAUAAUGGUCGUAUCAUGUUUGACCUGUUGGAGAAUUUGAGUGGAUAGAAGUUCCCCUUUGCCACCACACGAGUUCUUGAUGCAACCUCCCACCGCCUUCCAGAACUGCAUAAGUUCUGGAUACUCAUGAAUCCUCUAGGAUGGAUGUCCCCCUUGGAGGCAUCCAACUAGAUCCAGAUGGCGGGUUUGUUACAACUGGAUGCAAUACAGUGGUCAAAAUAGACACUAGAGGUGUCAUACAGACAUGCAACACUGGGGAACUAUGCUUAUAAACUAGCUAUCCCAUUCCAAAAGACCAUGGAUGAGGUUUUCAAGCUUGCUACUUUCCAUGGAUGCUAUGAUGGUGAUGCCUUUUUGAAUACAAAAAGCUGGAACCUAUCACAAGGAGAUCAACGUACUUGGAAUCAGCUUCAACUGUACUACCACUGCGAUUGCCAGGGAUGUGAAGGAGGAAUUGUCUGGCUUGACUCCUCGUUCUGGUACAUGCUUAACAACUAGGACAAGUACUGGCCAAACUCAAGCUUGAUGUUGUUAGACUGCCUCACCAUCUUCCUAUCCCUACUCAUGGCUAAUCUGUAGGUGAUCCUCAAGAUAGCUGCCUUCCUUCAAAUCCGAGAAUGGAUGCAAGCAGCUGCUAUCGAGGUGGCAAAAAAGCCAGCUAACCCGGAUCUAGAGUUCAUCCCGCAUGGACAGACUAAGAUGAACAUAUGUAAGUUCAUCUCUAUCCAACAGUACAAGUCCCUAACGUCCUCAUGAUGUGAUAGUAGUGAAAGUAAUGGAGCUUUCUCACCGACACCAUCCUCACAACACACGCCAGUAAGGUCUCGAGGCUUACCACUGAAUCGGAAACGUGAUCGUCCCGACGGACAAACGUCCAUGGGACUGGCAUCAUAGGAGAUGGGCACACCACUAUCAAUCUCCAAGACCUCUGAGGCCAAUGCAAGCUCGAACAAACAGAAGCUACGCAAAAGGCUUGGUGCAAGAAAGUAGUGAUAAAUAAAUUUAUGUUUUCUUCUUCCAUGAUUGGUAGCUAAUGAAAAUGCUCUCGUGAUUGCUUCCAUAGUGUACUUUACACUAUAUCCAUCAUUUGGCCAUAUAAAAAUGGCUGGUCAAAGAGGGAACGGAGAGCAAACGAAAAUUCAUACACCUCUGAUAUGUCACUGCCGGAUUCGAAAAGAUCAAUAUCCGCACUCUCAUGAGGGAGUGCCUGGAAAUGAUUGGCUUAGACGUGGAACUUUUGGAUCCCAUUGUAUUUGGCUGGAGGUAUGAACCCCAAAUAGAACACGACUUUUAUAAACCCAAAGAGGUUUUUUGUAAUUAGAACACUCUUGAGCCUCUUGUUUGUGAGUGCAAACAGUGGCUAUGGGUGACCUACCUCGACGAGAUUGGCCAUGUGCGAACAUUGGAUCCAAAGAUCCUUGGUUCAUGCAUACUUAUGGCUAUCAUCGAGAAAGGCCUCAAUCACAUCACCCCAAAACCACUCCAAAUAGCAAAAAUUAUUACUAAAAUCUGUGAAGCUUGGGAUCGGAUUGCCAGUAUAAUCCCAAAUGUUUACAUCUGCAACUGGCCAAGUAACGAAGCUGCUGUUAAACAGCACAUCAACUACCGGGUCCGAAUGGUAGUACAAAAUUCCCAAACCACCCCAACUGUAGAGGUGAUGACCACCCCCGAGGCACAACGGCAACUGGAGUGGGUACAUAAACACCUAUACAUCAGUGAUGCUGAUAAAGUGGCUAACACACCCACCUUCUUUUGCAAAAUGUUAGCCCACGGGGAAGCACUUGGGUAGAUGAAUAGCGACGACUUCUCACUCUCUGUCUCGGAAAAUAAUGUCCUUGAAACGCCCGAGAAAGUUGUAGAAAAACUGCUCAAUGACCCAUUUCUAUAGGAAUUUCUGCCUUAGCAACCAGAUCUCCCCUACCUCAUGGGAAUCUAUAAAGCGCACAAGAACAAAAUGCACUGGUUGACGAAUGCGGAUGGAUAUGUCUUCUCAGAAAUCACAAUCUGCCUAAUAGCUAUCCUAACAGGGAUACAGGAGGCGCUACAAAAUGUAGCUGAUGAUUUCUACACACAGGCAAAUUUCUUUGGAGGAAAGAUGAAUGUGUGCUGGAUCCUUGGAUCCACACAAGAGUUCGCGAUUAAUCUCCUAAACAGGAUCACCACGAUCUACAUGGGAGAUAUCACCAAGUGCUAUGAGGCCAUCCCCCUUGAGGGAGACCAAAGCCUUACGAUGGUUAUGACACAUUUAGUCAAUUUAGCCUUCGUGCACCAAAAUCACCUCAAAAAAGACUUUUUUUUUAUUCAAAAAAAGAAUGGUGAGCUUGAGGCCAAAUGGAAACCUCUAUGCCACUCAUCAAUAAAGGCUACUAGAAUGGAUCCAACAAAAGUUAUCGAGCCAAAUAACUUUAUCAUCCAGAAAACAUGUGUUUAGUUGGGCAAUAGAGUAUGGAGACAAGUCUGAAGAAUUCCCAUAGGCUUCUCAUGGUCACUUUUGUGGUGUAACCUGUACCUUUUCUACUUCGAGUACAAUUUUCUUACUCGACUUACACGUCUAAGCCAGUAUAAUUUACUUUGCCUCUUCAAGCACACUUUCAGGUACAUGGACGAUCUUGUUUCAAUGAACAACCCCAUGAUCCUCCGCUUCCUUGACCCUGAUCAAGUCAAAUCUGAAGGGAAUCCGUUCUAGAUAUAUCCACUAUGAUUCCUUGCCAUGCAAAAUGAGAUGGACAAUCCAUUCAUAGAUACGGACGGCUCGCUAGUGAACCUGUCUGCUCAUUUCCUAAGCCUAUAGAUCCAGAUCAUACAGGUUGACAGUACUUUUUUAACCACAAAGUAUGAUGAAUGCCGAUCACUUCCAUUCAAAGUCUCGCUGUAUAUUUAUCGAGAUUCAAUUCGACCCAUGAUAAACUCAUCCAAAGUAAUCCUGGGACAAGUCUUUGCACUUUUCUAUCUGAUUAACACUGCCGGUGGUAUCGUCCUUGAGAUUGAUAAUCUCAUUGAAUGCUUCAUGGAAAAAGGAUUCCAUUGCUAUGCAUUAAGACAACUCAUCCUUCGUGGUCUGGAUUGCAUUAUUCUGACCAGCCCCUUAUCACCAGUGCAAGUAGUGCUUGAUAUUCUCUUUGGCAUUUGGAGAGAGCCAGCCAAUCACCCACUAUAGCUCGAUGACUCAGCAAACUCAAGUUGAGGGCCAAGGAUUCUAUCUUUUAGACAAUAUUAUCCAUCAUUUGGGCAUCAUAUUGAAACAUAAUAGAUUUGGUGUCUAUGCCCUUUUGGACUGUGAGCAACAAAAGAACAAUUCCCCCAAACUUACCAUGAAGUCUUUGGUUACGCUCUGAACAAAAUGUGUAGGUGAACCAUCAAUUACAUUUGUGUUUUUAUUAGAUAAAUGGAAAAUACAACACAAGUUCUGCUCACAGAUCCCAUGCCUAGAUAACAAAAAGGUUUCUUUAAAAAUAAUUUUUAAAGAAAAUCUUGUUUACAGAAAACUUUGUUUUCCCAUUGACAAGUUAAUGGGACACAUGAGUAGAUGUGGCAUGGUAAAAAACAAAAGCUUGGAUUUUUCAUAGAAUCUUACGCUGAGAGAUAUUGUAGCGCACGUGGUUUUGACCCUUUAUCCUACGGGGAUUUACCAUAGGAUAACACCACGAAGCGGAACCUAAACCCUCUUUGUGCCACGUGACAGAUGCCACGUGUCACAUGCCACGUGUCCAUGCCACGUGUCCAUAAGAACCCGAGGUUCAGGGCCUUGGGCCACUGAACGAACGAACGGUGCCAAACUCCCAAGCAUAGAGCCAAGGAGUGAUGGAACCGAACCACGGAGCAACUUUCGAGCAUAUAGCCCAAAGAGUGAAGGGACAAGGGCCCGGAGCGACUUGGAACAAUCUUGGAGCAACCAGCAUCCCAAUGCCAGGACUAGCAUGCAAAACGGAGCCAAACGGAGUCUGGUGCUAUUUCGGCAUACCGGUGGCCUAACGCGAGGAUAUGGGUACUCCACCAACUAGCAUGGAAUGGAACUUGGGCUUAGACCCAAGCCGGACGCAGAACAAGGACAGGCACGCAAGCGGGAGCUAGACUAUGCCUCAUGUUGGUCGGCCAUGCCCGACCUACCCACUAUCCCUACUAUACAUUUGGAACCCCCCAUAGCCCCCCCCCCCCCUUGAGGAACACACGCUUUGGGCUUUCACCCCAAGCCUCCCAUAGUAUCAGGAGUUAGUCUCUGGGACAAGCUCAAAACUUACUAAAUAUGGAAUGUCCCUAGAUUGCGAAUUUGGACACGGGACGAACACCAUUGUGUUCAAGACGAUUUCUACAUUCCGUAGAUAUGCCAAAUGAGCAAAUCUGGACACUUUCCAUAAAUAGCAUCUGGGACGAAUUGAGACUAACACAAAGGGCAUGAUAGUGAGGGUGUUUGGCAGACACGGUAAGCUAUCAUGUAGUGAUAUUGAGGGACCAAUCUCAAUACGCAAGGGUUCUUGUCAAGCUAGUGCAAGACAGAGCGAAAGAGAACUAACAAGCCGGGCCAAGUAUGCUCAGCUAAAUAGACACUUAGGAAUUCCUUCCUUAUGCUCAUCCGGCCAAGUACAGAUGCAAAGUCCAGUUUACUAACACUUGAACAAGAGGGACUAAUAAAGGGUCAAGCAAUACCGACCUCCUGCCAUCGUGGCAGUAAGGUAAGAGUGUCCGUAAGGACUAGCCGACAGGUAACUUUCGAUACCUGAAGUCACAUUCGCGACACUCUCCCCCCCUUGGGAAGAUCGACGUCCUCGUCGAUGCAUACUCGAGUCUAGAAUACCACCAAGGAAACAACUCCAGAAAAAGUUCACGGUACUCACACUAUGUGAGAAAUGCACCAACUUAAAUGAGUUAGGGGGUAACCUCUUUGUCUAACGCGGAUGCGCUACUAGCUCAGACACCUUCCGGCCGUCGCCGACAAGGAAAUGACCAACAGAGUCAGCCACCCUUGUUGCUCUGGGUGUCACCCAGCUACAAAAGUGUGAUACGCCCUGCCCGCAGGGACAUAGAGAGAGAAGCCAGAGGCCCCAACCCUCCUGAGCAAAGAAACCAAACCCGUCGGUAAGGUUUGGAUAGACUACUGUAAACAGGCAGUUAGAGUUGUUUACACGGUCACGCCCUUUCAACAGAAUAAGGAACAUCGACAGAGAGGCGGGUGAUGUGACCAGUCGACUGUAGCUACCCCAUGACUAGAGAUUUCAACAUGCACACGAAGUGCCGAAGCCAGUCUGCCUAUACUGGCCCAAACUCAAAGAUCAAGAUAUAGGGACUGUAUCAAAGUCAGAGACAAUGAUAUCUGAGAAGCUUAAUUACUAGUGAUUAUAUCUUAGAGUAGAACACAAAAGUAUUCUAAGCAAGUUAUCAUUCGAUAAACCAGUAGUAUUGUAGAUAGGAACCACCAAGAUCACUAUAAUUGGUAAACAUAGGAAUCACCAUCCAACAACAUUCAAUAGCUAGUAUAUCAUCAAGGAAACUCAAUGAUGAAACUUAACUACCGAAGAUAGUAGACAGUAAGCCAACAACUUACUAAAGAGAACUCAAAGAACACAAAGUAUCAUUGACUAACAAGCACAAUGCUCGCGAAUGUAUCACCCGAAGGAAAUAACAUCCUAAUCUAUAAGAACUAACUCUGGCAAUAAUCAACAGAACAAAAUGAAUGUUGCAAAGCAAGCAAAUAUAGUGUUCAUGCCAAUCAUUGCACUAGCCAAUCCAGAUAGAUCCCAGCCAAUAACACCAAGGAACUCAAGUUGCCUAAGCAAGUGUCAGCAACAUCCUACUGAUGUCUCAAUCCCAAGAGACCAAACCAGAGCAAACCACAAAUAACAUGUGGUAUUGCGAAAAGCCAUAAGCUAUCAAAGAUAAAAACUAACCAUCAUGAAAGAUCAUCAAUUAUCCCAUCAAUAAAGAGAUGCAUAAUCACCAUCUAAGAAGGAAUCCACCAUCCUGAGGAACAACAAACCAUUCUAUACCAACAAUAAUUAAGCAAAACCUUUUUGACAAGGAUAAUCAACUAUCCCAGAUAAUAGUCAAUCAUCACCAAUGAUUGCUAGAUGCAAAAGCCAACUUCAACAUCGAAGCUAAUAAGCCAAAAUGCUUUCCCCAACAACUUCUAACAAAUGGAACAAUGAGCAUAAAACUCAAAGAACCAAAGCUUGAAGAAGCCUAUAGCCAAGUCUUGCUUAAUAAUGAUCACGAGUCUCAUAGAAGCUAACUUCAAUGCUAAAGAAGAAAUUAUGGUGCAACCCACAAUGUCUUCUUCAACACAUCCAUAAGCCAAACUUCAUAAUGCCAAAGCUAAUGAAGAGCAUUUCUGCAUCAAUCCAAAAGCUAAGCACAAUGGAGCUAUGCUCAACAAGUGAUCACUAAACGAUCCUCCAUGAAUCCAUCUAUAGCAAGACAUAACUCACUUCAUAACAAGCCCAAAAAGAAUCAUUAAUGAUUGCUAUAUCCCGAACUUAAAUCUAGCAAGGACUCAACAUUCUAAUAUCGAUCACUAACUCUUCUUCUCGUAUAGUUAGCAUAGUCCACGACUGAAUCACUUUUCAAGGAAAAGCUAAAGCUCAACCCUCUACUAAAUAAUCUCGUCUAGAACACAACUAACUCAACUUGCCACUCAGUUCAACGUCAACACAGUUGCUAACUAGCAAAUGCACGAAUGCCAACAACACAAAGCUAUAGCCAAAUCAUCAACACUAUAUUCAUCAAAACUAAUGAAACUCAAUAUCAAUCCUUGGAAGGAUAUCUCAUUUCACUCAGAUCUCAAUAUCAACAAUGUCAAUGACAAAGCAUCACUUCAAUGCCAUCAACACCAAAACAAAGCUAGAAGAAAGCAUGAGUGAAUCACCACUCAAAACUCUCUAGCAACCAAGCUAACCAAAGUCGAAGAUACUUUAGUCCGUAUCCAAGACCAAUCCUCCAAUAAAACUCAGUUACAGAUAACACUUCAUCAAGGAGUGAUUCACCACAUCUAAGACUCAAUGAAAUCUAACACUACAGACUAAAUGUAACCAAAUGAUAUCAACAGAGGUAGAGUCGACAUGCCAACAUGAAAAACUCAUGUAAGUCUAACGACACGAUCCUCCGCAACACCAUCCGGUAAAGCAAGCCCAUCACUGCUAAAUCAUCAUCGAGCAAAGCAAGUGUUAACAGUCCUUGACGAAGUCUACAAGUAAUCACUAGUUGCAAAGCAACUAACAAUCACUCCUCAACUUACCUUCACAAGACCCAAACACUAAACUCAUACCAUUGAAUCAUAUACUUGUCCAACAUGAACAUAAUACCCCAGGCACGAGAUAAAGGUUCAUGGACAAGCACAAAUUAAAUGACCACUCAAAUCCAACUCAACCGUAAUAAGCUCAUCAACACGUCUAGUCAAUAGCUCCGAGCAUGCCUUGAAGAGGCUAGCUACACAUGAUCAACACUAAGUCGAAACUCAAGUGAAGACCAUGAGAUGGACUCAUAUCGGUACACAACCUCCUCAUAGACAAAGCUAUAGUACGGGUACCAACAUCUCAACCUCAAACAACUAAGUUGGACAUCACCAUCCUUAGCCAAGGCGCAGGGCCACCAAGACCAAGUCAAGAUCAGUGAGAGCUCACUACUCUUAUAGAGUUUUAACAAAAUGCAAGGUGCAACCCACCACCGAGCAUAAUGCUACAAAAGAAAAGCACAAGGGUCACCCUUCUUAGAAAAGUGCCACUUUUCUAUAUCAACUCUAGACUCUAUCCAACUCAAUUGUUUUAGCCCCAAAAGUUAGCAUCCCUUUCGGGCCGCAUUAUACAAACUACCUAUCAAGGUCUAAGCUAACCAAAGUCAACUCCAACCCCUUCACUAGUUUGUACUGACUUACGAAAAUGGAAAGGUUUUCGGACAAAGUGAUCAACGGAUCAGCUAUUGGAAAAGCCUAAGAAAAUUUGUGGAAAAUUUCCAUCCUAGAGAAAGAAUGACUCUCAGUCCAGGAUUGCAAACUUUCAAGACUCAACCAACUUCAUCCUACAAACAACUUCACAUAGGUUCACCUCGACACAGAUUCUUAUGACCCAAUAGCAUGCUUAAGCAUCGAACAUCUUUGCCCAUAUAACCGACAUCGAACACUAACAUCCGCAAAGUGCAAAAUGAACAUCCAAGGCUUGAUCACGAAGACCACAUCUUCGGAUAUCCAUAUUGCACUAACACCCUUCUUCAAUCACCUUCAAGAUCCAAUGUGAAGCCAAAACACUAACAAGAAAAAUGACAUGGAAAAAUCAAGGUCCAAGGAAAAUUCCUCAUCACUUGAAAUAACAAUGCCACUUCCACUAACACAAGUGCUAGUGAUGUCAAUGCCCCAACUAUACAUCUUCUCCAUCCAACAAUCUACUCCAAGUGCUAACGGAUCAACCGACAAGCUAUAGCAAAUGAAUGCUACAACCCUUUCCAACACCUAACAGGCAAACUCAAGGAAACAAGGUACCAACUUAAGCUUAGCAUAAUGGACCACCAUCGAGAAUCUAGUCAAAGCUACUACAAUGCUACUUCGUGCAAGUAGACUAGCUUCUCCAUCAACCACUUUGGGGUUGAUCAUCAUUUAACCAAGCAACUUCGUAAACACAUUGCUCAUUAUCACAUGGAUAUGAUAUAGAAAUCACAAUAACUUGAUCAUCAAUUGAGCAAUACCACGAGUAAUGCCAAUGUCAUUACUUUAAAGGUUUAUGUGAGUAUCAAGUGCUAACUCAAUUUGACAAAAUGCAACAUAAAUGCCACACUCCACCGAUAGAGAUUUACAACACCCAACAUCACUAACUUUUGUUCACAACACGGACAAGCUCAUGCCACUCUCUUUCCGACCAAACUCAACACUAAUCCAACACCAAGCUACUCAAGGAGCAAUAGCAAGGUUCCCCGAAAAAGAAUUGAGCAUUGCAACCCCAGUCUUCCAUAGCAAGCCUAGACAAAAUGGUAUAACGUUUCACCGCUAUCCAUUCCACAACUCACCAUUUGUAAGACCAUCACUUCCAACAUGCAUCAAGAUAGGGACUCUUGAUUGCAUGAUGUGAACACAAGUAAUGAGUUAACACCUCGUUGCAGAUCAUCUCUCCAAGAAGAGAAAAUGAUUUAUGUAUUUGAUCCUCCGUCCCCGAUGACUCUCUUUUCAGUUUCAUCUUUGACUAAACCUCAAACUUGCUUUCGCACUGCCUUCAGUUCAAUCCAAGAAAAGUUUAUGAGAGAGCACGGCCAUGACUACUUGAACCAAUAGACUAAUCCCUAUAGUCUUGAUUGAUCCACUUAUAAUCAUGCCUAGGAAGGAUCCACUAGUGCCGUGCUAAACAGCUACGGACCAGCCUAUUUGCCACUCAUAGCAAACCCAGGGAAGUUUGCGUUCACCCAUGGUACAUGGAACAACUCAUGGAUCCACCGAUAGGCUAACAUUAAUCCUGCCAACUCAAAGUGUAACCUCAAGUUGCUAAUGCGCCUCACUCACGAGCCCAAGCGCAAACUCGUGUAACAUAACAACUUAGUCCACCCUAUGAGCCCAAGAGCAAGCUCACAUAUUAUGAAACACAGAGGUAACCAAAACCUAUCCCAAGGAACCAAUGCGAAGUCUUUGCACCAAAACGUGUACCCACUCGGAUCAUCGUUUUCAUCUCUGCGUAUGCAACGAGACUAGUUGCCCAAUCUCAUUGGAUAGUUCUCGCCGAGACUCUAUCUCUGAUACCAAAUGUAGUGCACGUGGUUUUGACCCUUUAUCCUACGGUGAUUUACCAUAGGAUAACACCACAAAGCGGAACCUAAACCCUCUUUGUGCCACGUGACAGAUGCCACGUGUCACAUGCCACGUGUCCAUAGGAACCCGAGGUUCAGGGCCUUGGGCCACUGAACGAACGAACGGUGCCAAACUCCCAAGCAUAGAGCCAAGGAGUGAUGGAACCGAACCAUGGAGCAACUCUCGAGCAUAUAGCCCAAAGAGUGAAGGGACAAGGGCCCCAAGCGACUUGGAACAAUCCUGGAGCAACCAGCAUCCCAAUGCCAGGACUAGCAUGCAAAACGGAGCCAAACGGAGUCUGGCGCUAUUUCGGCAUACCGGUGGCCUAACGCGAGGAUAUGGGUACUCCACCAACUAGCAUGGAAUGGAACUUGGGCUUAGACUCAAGCCGGAUGCAGAACAAGGACAGGCACGCAAGCGGGAGCUAGACUAUGCCUCAUGUUGGUCGGCCAUGCCCGACCUACCCACUAUCCCUACUAUACAUUUGGAACCCCCCAUAGCCCCCCCCCCCUUGAGGAACACACGCUUUGGGCUUUCACCCCAAGCCUCCCUUAGUAUCAGGAGUUAGUCUCUGGGACAAGCUCAAAACUUACUAAAUAUGGAAUGUCCCUAGAUUGCGAAUUUGGACACGGGACGAACACCAUUGUGUUCAAAACGAUCUCUACAUUCCAUAGAUAUGCCAAAUGAGCAAAUCUGGACACUUUCCAUAAAUAGCAUCUGGGACGAAUUGAGACUAACACAAAGGGCAUGAUAGCGAGGGUGUUUGGCAGACACAGUAAGCUAUCAUGUAGCGAUAUUGAGGGACCAAUCUCAAUACGCAAGGGUUCUUGUCAAGCCAGUGCAAGACAGAGCAAAAGAGAACUAACAAGCCGGGCCAAGUAUGCUCAACUAAAUAGACACUUAGGAAUUCCUUCCUUAUGCUCAUCCGGCCAAGUACAGAUGCAAAGUCCAGUUUACUAACACUUGAACAAGAGGGACUAAUAAAGGGUCCAGCAAUACCGACCUCCUGCCAUCGUGGCAGUAAGGUAAGAGUGUCCGUAAGGACUAGCCGACAGGUAACUUUCGAUACCUGAAGUCACAUUCGCGACAGAUAUGCCAUACGGAUAAGCAAACCUAAUUACAAGCUAUAACUAUUGGACUUCAUGGCUGCGGGCACUGGAUUUUCUCACAUCGAAAGGUAUGAAGCGAUGGGAAAAACCCUAACAUUAGGGUUUCUUGCUUGCAUCCAUUGCCGCCGCAUUCUCCAGGAGCACAUCCACAAGCAGAGCAAGGUUGGGCUGUUGCAAGGCUAUGUGCUAGCACAACCACGCAUAUUCCCUGCCCACUCCAGGAUCAACAGCCACUUUAUUGCACACUACAAGAAUGAGUAGUGCCAACGAAGUGUUUGCUUGGGUAUACCUCAAAACAAGCUUACACCCACCACUAAGGUCACAAGGAAUCUCACUACUGCAUUCCUGGCCACGCAAAAAUGGGUAAAACAAUUUGGUUUCUUCAUUUCUCUUCACCCCUGGCUUGUAGGAACUUUUUCUGGCUAGAACACCGGAACUUAGUGCCAUGGCAGCACAAGGGGUGUUCAUUGACUCUGCCCAGGUAGUGCUUGUGAAUCAACUAUUCCAGUUUCUAAUCAUCCCCUUAGAAAAAAGACAGGAUGACAGUGACUAGACUAGACGACGAGAUCCAUAAGUCAAUAGAUAGCGAUCAGAUUGAGCAUGUUCCCUAGUUCUAGUCUCUAGAAGUUACUUUUGAUGUGUGGCCCGGGCAUGUACCUAAGUACAUUGGCUUGCGAGCAUUAGUCGUGCAAAUCUCAGUUCAUUCUUGAAACCUAGCUUCCUACUUUCACAAAAUGAGAGACAGAGCUAGCAAAGAUUGCAUUACUAAUCCUCAUACCCCCCAAACACCCAAACCAUAGGAGGUGACAUAAGAAAUGCUUAGAGAAAUCAUUUUGGUCGUGGUCAGUACCAGGUUACCGAGCGGAUGAUCCUAUGCCUCAGACGAAUAUAUUGAAAAUGGCCUAGUCGAUUUGCUUAACCAUAAAAGGCUUCUUUUAAACACCACUAGACACUUCUCAUCCCAAUCAUGACUAGUGGCAUGUUUUUAUAUGUUUUGGAGAAAAUUGGUCAAGGGAGUAGCAAUCUCUAAGAAGUCCUUCAUAAAUCAUUACAAAACUCUAGCCAUACCAAGGAAAUUAUAGAGAUCAUACAUAGUCAAAGUGUUCGAUAGGUUGGGAAAGGCAAAAUACUUCUCAAGGAUUGACAUAAGGUUAACAUAUUACCAAAUUAGGGUAACAAGGGAAGAUGUCAAGAAGACAACCUAUCAAAUAAGAUAUAGAAGCUUUGAGUUUUUGGUGAUGCCCUUUUGACUAUACAAUUCAUCGACAACAUUCUCGGCAUUGAUAAAUUACAUUUUUGUACCUUAUUUGAAUUACAAUAAGACAAUCUUUGCCUUGAUAUCCAAUCUUGUAGUAAUGAGAAUAAUAACCCUCCACCUUGUCAUUCUUUUAUUGGUUCAAAUGAAGUUUCUUGGCCUCAUUACCAUCUCUAUUCUUCGAGUCAUGAUAUAGUAAUGGUUUUUUCUUCACCAAAUAUGGAGCAUUGGCUAGUUGGUCAUUAUAUUAACUACCCUAUAGACCAUCCUAUUGAACAAAUUUGACUAAUUUGAUUGACAAUUUUGGUGAAAAGAUUUGAGCCUUAGUGAUAGCAUGACCUAUAAGUUUUAUCACAAAAAGUCAAUCUUUACCUUGUCCUCAUAACAGUUGUAACCCCAACUUUGCCAUGAUUCCAAUCAACAAUCAAUUUCAUAGCUAUUAUAAAUAUUUGGUGACAAUUUUUAUUCCAUGAUACUAUAAUCCUUGGCAUAUUUUACGUACCAAUAGUAUUCAUAGACACAACAUUGAUUCAACCCUUGAUGUGAAGCAGAAAAUUUGUAAUACAUGUUGUUUUCACCCUUUACCCUAUAGUGUUUUACCAAAGGAUAACCAUAAAGUGGAACUCUAGCUUUUGGAUACAUAGGCCAAGGGUAGUGGAAUAAAACUUGAGUUCAAGGCCUUGAGCUACUAAACUAAAAGACAGAGCUAAACUUUUGAGCAUAUAGACAAGGAGUGAAAGAGUUAUAACACAAAAUGACUUUUGAACAUUCAACUCAAGGAGUGAAGGAAUAGGAGUAUGGAGCAACUCCCAAACGUACAACCUAAAGAGCGAAGAGAUAGGGGCAUGAAGUGAUGUUAAAAUAGUCUUAGAGCUUCUAACAUCUCAAUAUCAACACUAGCACGCAAAAUGGAGUUAAAUGGAGUCUAGUGUUAUUUUAGCAUACUGGUGGUCUAAUACAAGGAUAUAGAUACUCCACUAGCUAACAUGGUAUGCUUAUGCUUAAACCCAAGUCGAAUGUAGAAUAAAGAUAAGCAUGCAAGUAGGAGCUAGACUAUGCCUCAAGUUAGUCAGCCAUGCCUGACCUACCUAUUAUCCCUACUAUACAUUUAGAACCCCUCAUAAUCCUAUUAUAAGUAAUUAAAGAAAAUUACCUGAAAAAUGAUCCAUAAAGUUCAAAUAUAGAGAGAAAAGGCCCAUAAAUAAAAGUGCAUCCUCUUUUUCAAACAAUUAAGGGAUUUAGGAACUUAGGGUUAAAAAUCCUCGGGUUUAAAUAGUACUAGACUAGGUGACCUUUCGAGAAGUCCAAACUCAAGAGGUUACAUUUCGUAUCAGAAGGGGUCUCUCGCGUCCAACUUUAUUGGUUGGCUAGAGGAAUUACAUCACAUGUUGAUUGACAUUUAGCAAAUCCAGUUUGCUCCUGUUAGGCUUAACCUGAAGAGUGGGGUGUCAAGAGAGUAUGGCUCUCGAGAGAGCUACAACUCUUAGCUUCCAUUCAUAAGGGCGUGAAUUUGUAGGGAAGCAUAGUGAAUUGUAAACAACCAAAAACUUAAGAGAUAAUACAUAAAGUUCAAAUAUAGAGUGCACCCUUUAUUUCAAUCAGUUAAGGGUUGUAUGAUACUUAGGAUUAAAUGUCCUUAGAUUUGAAUAGUAUUAGGUUGGGUGACUUUCUGGGAAGUCCAAAUGCAGGAGCUUACACCUACCCUAUAGUGUUUUAUAAUAGAAUAAUCAUGAAACGAAACUUUAACCCUUGGACACAUGGGCCAAGGGUAAUGGAGCAAAACCCAGGUUUAGGGCUUUGAGCCAUGGAACGAAGACACAGAGCAAAACUCUCAAGUAUAUAACUAAGGAGUGAAAGAAUUAGAGUAAAGAUGACUUAUAAGCAUUCAACUUAAGGAGUGAAGGAGCAAGAAUAUGGAGUGACUUUUGAACAUACAACCUAAAGAAUGAAGGGAUAGAGGCACGGAACUAAAGCAUGGAUAACUCAUGAGCAUUCAACUUAAGGAGUGGAGCAAGAGUAUGGAGUGACUCUCAAAUAUACAACCCAAGGAGCAAAGGGAUAAAGGCAUGGAGUGAUGUUGAAAUAGUCCUAGAGUUUCCAACAUCCUAAUGUCAAGACCAACAUGUAAAAUAGAACCAAAUGGACUUUGGUGCUAUUUUAACAUAUUAGAAGCCUAAUGCAAGGAUAUAAGUACUCCACUAGAUAGUAUAGUAUGGAGAUUGGGGCAUAGACCCAAGCCAAAUAUAGAACAAAAACAAGUACUCAAGCAGAAGCUAUAUUAUACCUCAAGUUGGUCAACCAUGCCCAACCUACCCACUAUCACUAUUAUAUAUUUGGAAGCCCCAUGGCCCUACCCUAUGGUGUUUUAUCAUAGGAUAAUUAUGAUGUGGAACUUUAACCUUUGGACACGUAGGCCAAGGGUUGUUGAGCAAAACUUGAGUUUAGGGCGUUAAAACACUUAAAGAAGAGAUAGAGACAUACUCCCAAGCAUACAAUCAAAGAGCAAAUAAAUUAGAGUAUGGAUGACUUCUAAGUUCAAUUUAAAGAGGGAAGGAGUAGAAGCAUGGAUUAACUCCCCAACAUAUAGCCCAAUGAACAAAGGAAUAGGAGCAUAUAAUGAUGUUGAAAUAGUCCUAAAGCUUUUAACACCCCAAUGUCAGAACUAACACACAAAAUAGAACCAAAUAGAGUUUAGUGUUAUUUCAAUAUAUUGGCGGCCUAACACAAGGAUAUGAAUACCCCACUAGCUAGCAUAAUAUAGAGCUUGGGCUUAAACCCAAGCUGAAUACAAAACAAGGACAAGUAUGCAAGUGGGUGCUAGACUAUGCCUCAAGUUAGUCAAUCAUGCCUGACCUACCCACUAUCUCUAUUGUAAUGCAUCUUAUUUUUCUCCCCAUAAGCCAAUUGAAAAAUAGGCAAUUGCUUAAUAAGAAAACCCUUCGUGGCUAUUUUAUCCUCAUUUAUCCCCCAAUGUUCUAAGGAUCUAUAAUGACAAUAUAUCUAAAUCUCAUCCCAUGAUCACGUACACUACACUCACCCCCUUUUUAGAGAUGUCAAUGUCCUCAUUGACUAUUGACUAACAACUUCUACUAAGCCAAGGGGAACUAGCACCACCAUUUCCGCACUAAAUUUACCAAUUCUUCCAUUGUGUAGACCAACUAUUUUAUGUAAGGCAAUUAGUCAUCCACUCGUACCGCAGUCCCACGGUGGAUACCUUCAUCUGUGGAUGCUCCACCAAGAGGAAGGAUGUAUGCAUGGAUGCCCAAUACAUACGAUUUCAAAUUUAGGGGUAAGAAUAUACCUUGCUCAAGGGUAUAUUAUACUUUUAAGUAGCCACUAAUCAAUGGGAAUCAAACCUGUGCCAUUUCCUCUGAUACCACAUGUAACGCACCCUAUCUUUUUCCCCUUAAGCCAAUUGAAUUGAUUAAUAAGAGAGCCUUAGUGGCUAUUUUAUCUCUAUUUAUUCCCCAAGGUUCUAAAGAUUCAUGGUGACAAUAUAUCUAAAUCUCAUCCCAUAAUCACAUGCGCUACACCUAUUAUACAUAUUAUAUAUUUGGACAUGGCUAAAGACGUCUAAAACUAUGUAAAGACAUGUCCAAUAUAUUAGUAGGUCAAAGCCAUGAUUAAGGCAAGUGGGGGCUUAUUACAAAGCCUCCCAAUUCUAGAUCUUCCAUAAAAAUGUCUUAUCACGGGAUUCCCCCCAAGUGAGGGGUUGAUGCAAUAUUCAUGAUGGUGGACUGAUUUUCAAAAAUAGCAUAUUUUAUACCCACCACAAUGGAAGUGGAUGCAAAAAGUGUGGCAAAGCUAUUUUUUUAACAAGUGGUUUGAGUGCGGGGAAGGCCAAAAGAGAUUAUCUCAAAUCGAGAUAAUAUUUUCACUAGGUAUUGGGUAUUAAGUCAAGUUUAAUGGCAUUAACACUUCUUGAUAGAUGGACAAAUGGAAAGGGUGAAUAGAUAAUUAGAGGAUUAUUUGCAAUGUUAUAUCUUCGAAGACCAGACUUAUUGGGUUUAUUUAGAACUUGUGAAAAUGUGUUAUAACAAUUCACCACAUUUAAAUAUUGGGGUGAGUCCAUGGGAAGUCAUCAAUGGGUGAACUAUUGAAGGUCCUAUGAAACUCGGCAUAGCUGAGUAUCAUGGAGAGUUACUUGCAAUGGAGGUGUUCACGGCAGAAAGACUCAACAUUUAGAAUCUAAUGAGGGAUUCCUUGGAAUGGGCUUAACAAAGGCAAAUUAAAUACGUAAACCAAAAAUGCUGGGAUGUAAAGUUUUAACUUAGGGAUAAAGUGUAGCUGAACACUAAGAACCUAAGGUUACCAAGUGGGAUCAACUGGAAGUUAACCUAAAGAUAAAAUGCAUGUAUUUCUGGAAAUGAACUGAUCUUGAGUUCCUUAAACAGGUUUAUGGGGCCUUAUGAAAUUCAGGCUUGAAUUAGUAAAAUGGCUUACCGCCUCUGACUUCCUCAGAAGAUAGGGAAGAUGCGCCCUAUGUUUCACGUGAACUUACUUAAGCCGUACUUUCUUUAAGGACCCACUUCUCAAGGACCAAGUAAGACAUAUACCUAAAGUUAUCCAAGGGAAAGAAGAAUACGAAGUCAAGGCCAUCCUCAAUGUGUGCAAGAGCAAGUGAUAAGAACGAAAGGUGAGGGAGUUCCAUGUGAAGUGGAAAAGAUUUUCACACUAUGAAGUAACAUGGGAAUUGAAGGAAAACCUUACAAAUGCAUGAGAUCUAGUGAAGGAAUUUUUACAAAGUAGAACUAUAUGUACUUAUGCAAAAUUUAAUUAAAGAAUCUAUUUGAGAAAUUGAGCAAUGUCAUAUGUUGGGACCCAAAGGCAUGCCGAAAGUAAGCUAAUUAGCAUAUGUUAGUGUAAGCAACCAAAGGGAACGAUUCGAGAGACGAUCCAUGGGGUUCAAAUAUAGAGGGAAAGGGCCCAUGAACAAGAGUGCACCCCCUUUUCCAAUCGGUCAAGGGUCUUGGGAUAGUUGGAGUUAAGCGUCUUUGGGUUUGAGUAGUACUGGGAUAGGUGACCUCCCGGGAAGUCCAAACUCAGGAGCUUACAUUUGGUAUCAGAGGGGUCUCGGGUCCGACUCUGUUGGUUGGCUAGGGGAAUCACACCACAUGUUGAUUGACAUCUGGCUAGUCCAGUUUGCUCCCACUGGGCUCGACCCGAGGGGUAGGGUGUCAAGAGAGCGAGGCUCUCGGGAGAGUUGCGGCUCUCAGCUUCCGUUCACGAGGGCGUGAACUUGCAGGGAAGCGUGGUGGAUUGUAAGCAACCAAAGGGAACGAUUCGAGAGAUGAUCCAUGGGGUUCAAAUAUAGAGGGAAAGGGCCCAUGAACAAGAGUGCACCCCCUUUUCCAAUUGGACAAGGGUCUUGGGAUAGUUGGAGUUAAGCGUCUUUGGGUUUGAGUAGUACUGGGAUGGGUGACCUCCCGGGAAGUCCAAACUCAGGAGCUUACAGUUAGCUAGGUUGACCAAGCAUAAAGAAUUAUACCUGACUCCUUAUGGGGAUGUCAAAUCCGUAAACGUAUUCUACAAAGGUUGGGUUUGAGUCCCAACCCUUUAGUAAAGCAAGGUUGGGUUCAAAUCCCUACCCUAUACUCCCCAAAGUGUUGUAAACUAAAGGAUCCACAAAAGCAUGACCAAAAUGAUAAAGAGUUCAUCAGACAAGACUGAGUCUGAGAUCAAGUCCAAGACUGAUUUUGAGACCGAGUCCGUGAUCCGAGAUUAAGUUCGAAACCAAGUCUAAGACCGAGUCCGAAAUCGAGUCUGAAACAAAGUCUGAAGUUGGGUCCAAGAUCAAGUAUAAGACCAAGUCUGAGGUCACGUCUGAAAUUGAGUUUGAGAUUGAGUUCGAGAUUGAGUCUAAAUACUAAUAUAGGUAGUGGAAUGAAAGCCCAAAGCGUGUGUCUCCCAGAGGGGGUUGUAAAGUAUAGUAAAGAUAAUGAGGUCCAAGAAUCAAUUUUCAAAGAACUCUCACUUGAGGUUGAGCCUGAGGCUUAUAAGCCUUGGGUGGGAAUGAGUAUGGAUUCAGGUGGUGCUAAAGGGGCUACCCAAGGAAGUUCUUAAGAGCAACUCCCACUUCUAGAAGGGAAACCAAUUGUCGUACUCCUGGCUCAUGUGGAGUGGUGCCCCAUUUGAGUACUUUGCAACUCAUUGCCCCUCACCCUUUUUAGAGGCUUGGGCCUUUCCUUUGGGAUGGAAGUGGGGUAAUAGGGGUACCCAUUAAGCCAUAGGGUUUCCCUUUAGUGUCCCAAAGCAAGUGUUGUAGCCAAAGUUUAAGAUUUAGAGGGUUCCAUGAUCAAAUUUUGUUGUACCAAGAGAUAUUAGGAACCUAGAGGUUUGGUAUACUUGGUUGCUUGUGUUUGCAGGGAGUGUAACCAAACCUUAAGUCUAGUUUAACCUAGGGAGGGGGAUUGGGAGAGAACUUCAGAAUUCAUAGAUGGAUGGCUAAACCUCUAUUGUUUGUGUAGUGAGUUGUUAAAACCAAGUAAAACCAAGUAAAAGCUAGUACAAUAAAUGAGAACUUUGGUAAGGGAUUUUAACUAAGGUUAAGGCCAUAAUGGUCGGAUAGUCAUGGUAAAUUUACAAAUUAGAAAGGAAAAAUUUAUAACUUACAGCUAUGCUAUAUUUUGGGAGUAUGGCAAUUUGAAGGUUAUGCCCCAUACAUAUAUGGUAUACCCCAUGAAAAAAUAUUAUAUACAUAAUCAUAUUUUGAUUGCUUAUAUAGCAAUUUCAAUUGAUAGUAUACAUAAUAAUUUUGCAUGCAACUUAAAAAUAAUUUAUAUAAUACUCCAUAGGUAAUUACAUAAUUAUGACCAUAAAUAAAACUCUAAAAAAUUAUAGUAAUAAGAUAAUUGAUUAUUUCUCAUAAUAAAAUUUAAAAAAAUGCAUUAAUAAUUCUUAAAUUUCACAUGUAGUAUAUAUAUGUUGAAAUUGAUUAAACAUUUCUUUUAUAGUUUUAGUGUUAUGUAGCACUCUUUAUUACUCAAAUCAUGUUAUUAUUUACCUUUGUACUUUCUUUAAUUUUAUGUAAAAAUAAUUAGAAAAUUAUAUAGUAACUUAUCCACACAUAAAUUUAUUUUAAAAAUUAAAUUUAUAAUUUUUAUUUGUAAAAAUAUUAAAAUAAAUUAAAUAUUUUAAAAAGUUUAAGUUAAAAUAAGCUUUUUUUUAUUCAACCUUAAUAGAAUUUCACACAUAACUCUUAAUUUAUAUUUUUUAAUCUUCACAAACAAUCAUCAUACAAUGAGAUAUUUCCCCACUGUAAGUGGGUAUAAACUUUUGAUUAAAAUUUCUUAGUUACUUUAAUAUGAUAUAUAAAUACAACACUCACUUUUCAAAUUCUUUAAGUUUUUUCUUAACUUCUUUGAUAUGAAUGAGUUUUAGAAUAACAUAAUCAUAGUUUAUAACUUUUGGUAGGAACAAGAAAAUAUUGUUUUUUUAAUAAAAAAAAUAUUUUAGCCUUUAGCAAAUACUACAUUGUGUAAUUCAUUGUCAAAUAUAGUAAUAUAAGAGGAUUUUGUGAAUGAACAUUGUUUCAUAUUUGUUAUUUAUUUCUGAAAUUGUUGGAGCCAUAAUUGUUAAACUUAUAUUAUAUUAUACGACACACAUUGAUUUUAAUAUAAAAAUAGAAAAUUCAUGCAAUAAGAAUAUUGGUCAUAUAUAGUCAUAUUUUAAAAAAUGCUUUUAUGUGCCAUAAAUUCCUUACACAUAAUUGUAUUGUAAUUGUAAUACUUGAUAUCAAAACCAAAUUCACUUUGUAUUAGUUGGAUAUAAUAUCAAAGUUGUGUAGUUGAUGAGACUAACAAAAUUUAGCAGCUUCAUAUGGGUAAUUUCUAAAAUUUAAAAGCAAUGGCUGGACAUCCAAACUACUAUGGCAGGGUGAUGUAAUUAAUAUUCAAGUCUCUUCAUAAUUUUUAUGGUAUGUUAUUGACUCCUUAAUUACAAAAUUCUGCUCAUCAUAAUCAAGAUUCUCACAAAGUUGUAAUUUCAUGUUAACUUUCAAUAUCCAAACAUAAAACUAGGGAAAGCAUCACAAAGUUGACUUUAUCAUAUAUAAUUUCUAUUUCCAGCUAGCAUUAUUGUGUUAUUCUAAUGUGAAUAUAUCCCAUUAGGUAUAGCAUUAAAAUAUUAUAUUGUCAAAGCUAUCACUAUAAAUGUUUUUUGUUGUAAUAAUUGUUAUAAUUGUUUUCAUUUCUUCCCAUAAACAAAUUCAUAUCCUAGGAGACUUAUGUAGAUUUCUCUAGUGCUUUUAAACUUUUAACUAAUCUUUAUGUUUAUGUUUGAUUAUAUUGUGUAUAUUAUUAUAGUUGAAUUUUGAUAUUGAUCUAUCAAAAAAGCUAAUAAAUACAUUUAUAAUGUGAAAUACUUAGCUUUGGUUUAUUUUUAUGAUAAUUGUUAUUUUUAUUAGUUCAAUAAAAUUAAUAUUACAAAAUGUUUUUAUAACUAAAAUUAUCAAAGUAACCUAACUCUAAUAUUAUACUAUUUAAAUAUUUGUAUCCUUAACCUGGAGCAAAUGUAUGAUAACAAACAAUAGUUCUUGCUCAAGGUCAAGGAAAAGGACCUUUUGGACAUGCCUUGCUAUACUUACUUUGUGUGGAUUGGAUGCUUUGGAAAUCGUGUGGGCAAUGGGGUGGUACUAUGACAACCAUGUAGAUAUGUUUAUUAAUUUCAAGCAAUUCAAUUUUGCUGCUGUCCCCUCUAGAGACCAAGUUCAAGAAACUGGCUAGGCAUGCUCUUGGAUGCUAUUACAUGCUUGGCAAAUGCAAGUGCCCUGCUCUAGCUCUAGGUCACAACAUUCUAUGUUUCAUGCACAUUAGCUACAAUCGUGCACACAGGAGGAGUGAAAAGCUAAGAUUACAAAAAAGAUUA